UUUUUUUUUCAGGGUAAAAGACUUCAUAUAGCAGAAGAUGGGCACCGGAAGCCUGCCAGGGGGCCCACGAGGCAGGGGGCACGCCCCCCACCCUCGUGGACGGUGGGUGGCCCCCCUCUGGUAUUUUCUUCUCUCAGUAUUUUUUAUUAAUUCCAAAAUUUAACUUCCCUCGAGUUUCAGGACUUUUGGAGUUGUGCAGAAUAGGUCUCUAAUAUUUUCUCCUUUUCCAGCCCAGGAUUCCAGCUGCCGGCAUUCUCCCUCUUCGUGUAAACCUUGUAAAAUAAGAGAGGAAAGGCAUAAUUAUUGUGACAUAUCGUGUAAUAACAGCCCAUAAUGCAAUAAAUAUCGAUAUAAAAGCAAGAUGCAAAAUGGAUGUAUCAAUAAUGAAAAUGAUAAUGAUGGUGUUCAUAAAUAUACGCAACCAGACAAUGAUAAACAAUCAGAUAAUGAUGUUGAAAUAGAACCUGUUGUUGAUCUUGAUAACCCAAAAACUAAAGAUAAAAGAUAUGACAAAACAGACUUUGUGGCUAGAAAACAUGGCAAAGAAAGAGAGAUAUGGGUUCAUAAACCCAUGCCCUUCCCUCCUAAACCUUUAAGAAAAACGAUGAUGAAGAAUUUGAAUGCUUUUAUCAAAUGCUUAGGCCAGUCUUUUUGCGUACUCGCUUGACUGAUAUUCUAAAGAUGGCCCUUUAUGCAAAGUAUAUGAAAGACAUAAUCACUAAUAAGCGGAAAAUACCUAAAGCUGAAAUCUCCAUCAUGCUUGCUAAUUAUUCUUUUAAAAAUGGAGUACCUAAGAAACUUGGAUAUCCAGGAAUACCAACUAUACCUUUCUCCAUCAAAAGAAAUUAUGUCAAAACUGUUUUGUGUGAUCUAGGAACUGGUGUUAGCGUUAUGCCUUUAUCUUUAUAUAAAAGACUUCAUUUGAAUAAACUCACACCUACUAAAAUCUCUUUGUAAAUGGCUAACAAAUCAACUGCCAUACAUAUCGGUAUUUGUGAGGAUGUGCCCGUUGUUGUUACAAAUGUUACUAUCUUAACACACUUUGUUAUUCUUGAGUUGUCCGAGGAUGACAACAUGUCGAUUAACCUUGGUAGACCUUUUUAAAUACUACAGAGGCUGUUAUUGACAGCAAUAAAAGCAAGGUCACUUUUCAUAUCAAUGGUAAUGAGCAUAUGGUGCACUUUCCCAAGAAACAAUUUGAUGUGAAUGGUAUUAAUGUUAUUGAAAAAUCUCUGACACUCACUAUUGGAAGUUUUCAACUACCUCUACCUACUGCCAAAAAGAAAAAUGACAUACUUAUUGUUGGGGAUGUGCAUAUCCCCGUUGAGGUAACUCAGUGUUUUACGAAAGUUCUUCGGUUUCAUGUUAACCGGAAGUGGUUGUUAAUAAGACUUGAUCAACCUUGUUAAUGGAUCAUUUUUGAGAGGUAUGAAGUUGAUGAACCUAGUAGGCACAACUUUCUGUCCUUAUCUUUUGUUUUCUGUUUUUCUUAGUUGAAUAAAAUAAAAUGUCAUGUUUAUCCUGUUUUCUGAUUUUUCCUGUGCAAUAAAAAAGUGCCCAAAAAUAAAAGUUCUCGGAAUGCCCUGAAAUUUUAACACGAUUUUUAUCUGAAUAUUUCUGAAUUUUUGGUGCAAAUAACAUCAGAGGGGUGUGCACUUUGUGACCACAAGACACCAGGGCGCACCAGCAACCCCACACGCGCCCUGGUGGGUUGUGGUCCCCAUGUGAGUCCCCUCACUUAUCUCUUUAGCCCAUGCCAUCUCCUACCUCUAGAAAAAAAUCACCGUAGAUCUGUCUCUCGUGUUCUUGCUCUCAAACCCGCGGAUUUUGAUCUCUUUGCUUGAAGCUCCAUUUCUGAAACUAUUUUGAGGGAUUGUUACUUGGUAUGUUACUCCUCCAUUGAUCCUAUUAGUUUUAGCUUUGGUGGUUUAUAUUUUGAAUAAUUAAAAACUCUUGGUGCUGCUGUAAAUGGGCUUGCUUGUUGAAUUAGUUUUAGUUCUAAGUAGUUUGAAUGCUCAGGCCUCUAGGCAUCUUUAUGAGUAGUUGCUAUCGAUAUUGUGAAGUUGUGUUGACAAAAUUUUGUGUCCCAAAAAUUUUCAGAAAUUAUCCGCAAAUAAAAAUGCAAUUCUUUAGGAGUUCUUCGGGGAGGAGGUCUUCGGAGGCAUCAUCGAGUAGUGACUUGAUACGUUGGUCAUAUGUUGAGCCAAGUGCAAGUUCAAUACGGGAUGCCGCUAUCAAAUCAUGCCUAUGUCUGUGUAAUGAUUUCAUGGUGAGUGCAUGUAUUAAAGAAGAAUUUGAGCAAUAUGUUCACAACACCGAGCUCGGUCCCUACAUUGAAGAUAAGUGCAUCCAGCAUCUCAGCCUCACAGAAAUGUUCACUAAAAUUUCAUCCUCGUGAGUCUAGAGUUUCGUUUAAACUUUAUGACUAUCCAUUUACCAUGCCUCUAGAAGUGUUUAGUGGUGUUUGUAAAAUUCCAUUUUGGGGUUCGCUGUACGAGCCACCAAGAUCUGAGUAUGAGUCAUUUUUUAUUAAUCUUUGCUACGGUGAGGACAGAGGAGUGACACAAGCUAGGAUAAAAACUAUACAUUUUCCAUCAAUUCAUUACUUUGCCCUCUUUAAUGGCAAAUGCAUCAUGGGCAAACAAGAUUGUAGAACACUAUGCACCCCUGACCUGAGCCUCAUACACACUGCUCUGACAUGAAUUAAACAUUAUAACCUUGGAGCAAUCGUUGCACGAAGGUUGCAACAUAAUGCUGGUAGUGGUUACUUUUAUGGUGGGAUUUAUGCUUCCCGUUUAGCAAAGGAGUUGGGUGUAUCACCUUGACCUAACGAUCCCAUUUUACCUACCCAGUACUUAGACUUUGAGGCCAUGAACCGCCAUCAGUCCCUUAAGGGCACAAUCACUAAUUGUACUUAUAGCUUGAGGUUCAAUAAAGAACCCAUUGUACCUAUUGUUUUGCUUGCGCCUGCUCUCUUUGAUUUCCACAGCAAGAGAAGAUAUUAUAUUCUCGAGAACGAGGUCCGCACGUACAAGGCGAAGGUCGAGGCAGCACGGCAAGCUGAGGAGGCCGCACCUAGAUCCUCCGUUGGCUAUCACUCGUAUUAUUAUCCAGGGUAUGGAUGGUAAUUACCAAGCUAGGCCAAAACCCUAAGCUUGGGGGAGUACGUAUUUCCACCGGCAUUAUAUUCUUGUUCACACAUGUCAUUCCAAUCGUCAGUGUUCACACAUUUCUAUUGUAUAAUCCAUGCAAGAUUUAUUUUCUCCCUUUCUUUUUGUGUGUUCGAAAAACUUUGAGAAAAACAAAAAAAUAUUUCUUGCUUCUUUUUCGGUUUUAUUUCUAUUUUUAUUAGUUCUAAUAUUAAAAGAAAACCCAAAAAGAUUUCUUGAUUUUUAUUUUGUUUGUUGGGAGCUUUCCCAUGUAAAUAGUUUUUCUCGUUUUUGUUUUCCUUUUAUUUAAUUUGUUUCCCUCGGGAAAAACUAAAAACUCCAAAAAUAUUUCAGUGUGUUUCUCUGAAAUUCUUUUCUUUUGUUGAGUCCUACCAAGGAGAAGACCACGAUGAAAAUGUUGAGUGGCUCCCAUAUGCAUUAUUAUCGAUCUAACAAAGAGCCCAAAUUACCUUGUCUUCUCCUUUUGAAUAAAAUGUUUGCAGAUUCCAGCUUAGUCCACGACAUUCUUGCACUACUAUUAUUUUCAUAUCAUUAGGUCGUGCAAGUGAAAGGCAAUAAUGACGAUAUUUGAUGAAGUGGUUGUGGCAGAGAAAAAUGGGUAUGAACUCAACUUGUUCUGUUUUUGUAAGUAUGUUUAACCUAGUAUCAUGAUUCAGCAUAUUAUGAUCAAACAUGUUUGCAGUGACAAUUAGAGAUAGUUUCUCAUGUCAUGCUUAAGUAGUUAGGAGUGGAUAAUGAUUUAUCUUGGAUGUCAACAUUGCGUUAAAAUGAUUGUGAUGUAGUAUGAUGAUAUGGUAUCCUCCUCUGGAUGUUUCAAGUGGCUUGACUUGGCACAUGUUCAUGCAUGUAGUUGAAUCAAAACCAACAUAGCCUAUACGAUAUUUAUGUUCAUGGUAUCCAUAUCUUACUCAUGAUAGUACUCAAUGUUCAUUAUUCAUAAUGGAUGUUUAUGACCGUUUUAGCUCUCUAGCUGGCCGCUUCUCAACCUAUUUGCUAGCCUUCACCUGUACUAAGCGGGAAUACUACUUGUGCAGCAAAAUCCUUAAAACCCAAGUUAUUUCAAAUGAGUCUAUAUCUACCUAUAUGAACUAUUACCCUUCCUUUCUAACUAAAUUUGCAUGUGCCACCUCUAAAACUUCAGAUGAACAUCUGUUUUUUGUGUGCCUUGAUUGUUCAUAGAGCGACAGGGGGUAGUCAGUAUCUUCCAUGCUAAGAGGGUUAUUCUCAUGAUGAGUGUUUAUUCACUCGUCCUUGCACGAGAGGGGCGGUAAUAGGGAUUCCCAGUCCCGAAAUAAAAAUUUUGCAAAUAAUUAAACAAAACUCCCCAGGAUUGUUGUUGGUAUGGACGACAUCCGUAGAUUUGGCUAGACUGUGUUUGUUGGUGGAAGGGGAGUAAACCUUUACUUUUAUCGUUUGGGAACCACCAAUAAUGUGUUUAGCAUGGACAUAUUGAUAAUUGUUGGUAGUGAUGUAAAUACGAAGGGUGCAUUUCCCAAAAUUUCAUUUAUCUCUGAUUUAAGCUUCGAGCUUUGGCACCUCUGCAAAUCCCUACUUACCUCUGCAAAGGGACUAUAUUUUAAUUUUAUGUUGAGUCAUCACCUUCUUAAAAAGCACUAGAUCUAAGAGCACUAUUGUCAUCCUCAUGGAUUGUGUAUAGUUAAUGUUGAAUGCAUCAUGAUUGCAUCUUUUCUACCAUGACUUACAAUGUUUAGUCGUUUCUUGAACUUUGGAGGUGCUAUGCAUUUAUAUUUUGCGGUCUCAAAAAGGGCUAGCGAGAUACCACUGUUGUCAUAUCGUAUCAUGAUUGUUUUGACGAAGUGUUGGCAUUUGAGAUAUCUUACAAUUGCUCGCUAGUUGAGUAUGCCAUCGAUAUGAGUUAAUAUAAUUUUCAAGAGUUAUUGCUGACAUGGCUAGUGAUACGUCUCCAACGUAUCUAUAAUUUUUUAUUGUUCCACUCUAUUAUAUUAUCUGUUUUGGAUGUUUAAUGGGCUUUAAUAUACACUUUUAUAUUAUUUUUGGGACUAACCUAUUAACCGAAGGCCCAGUGCCACCUUUCUGCUUUUUUUGCCUAUUUAAGAGUUUUGCAGAAAAGGAAUACCAAACAGAGUCCAAACGAAAUGAAACCUUCGCGAUGAUCUGUCUUGGACCGAAACCAAACCAGAAAACUUGGAGAUGAAGUCGGAGACGUAACGAGGAGGCCACAAGGUAGGAGGGCACGUCUUGGGGGGGUAGGCGCGUGCCCCACCCUCGUGGGCCCCUCGUAGCUCCACCAACCUAGUUCUUUCGCCUAUAUAUACUCUUAUACCCUAAACACAUCAGGGGGAGCCACGAAACCACAUUUCCACAGCCGCAACCUUCUGUACCCAUGAGAUCCCAUCUUGGGGCCUUUUGCGGCAAUCUGCCGGUGGGGGAUUCGAUCACGGAGGGCUUCUACAUCAACACCAUUACCUCUUCGAUGAAGCGUGAGUAAUUUACCAUAGACCUUCGGAUCCAUAGUUAUUAGAUAGAUGGCUUCUUCUCUCUCUUUGAUUCUCAAUAUAAAGUUCUCCUCGAUGUUCUUGGAGAUCUAUUCGAUGUAAUACUCUUUUGCGGUGUGUUUGCCGAGAUUCGAUGAAUUGUGGAUUUAUGAUCAAGAUUAUCUAUGAAUAUUAUUUGGUUGUUCUCUGAAUUCUUAUAUGCAUGGUUUGAUAUCUUUGCAAGUCUCUUCGAAUUAUCGGUUUAGUUUGGCCUACUAGAUUGAUCUUUCUUGCCAUGAGAGAAGUGCUUAGCUUUGGGUUCAAUCUUGCGUUGUCCUUUCCCAGUGACAGUAGGGGCAGCAAGGCACGUAUUGUAUUGUUGCCAUCAAGGAUAAAAAGAAGGGGUUUUCAUCAUAUUGCUUGAGUUAAUUCCUCUACGUCAGUCAUCUUGCUUAAUGUGUUACUCCAUUCUUUAUUAACUUAAUACUCUAGAUGCAUGUUGGAUAGCGGUCGAUGUGUGGAGUAAUAGUAGUAGAUGCAGGUAGGAGUCGGUCUACUUGACACGAACAUGAUACCUAUGUUCGUGAUCAUUGCCUUAGUUGUCAUCAUAAUUAUGCACUUUCCUAUCAAUUGCUCGGCAGUAAUUUGUUUACCCACCGUAAUACAUGUUAUCUCGAGAGAAGCCACUAGUGAAACCUAUGGCCCCCGGGUCUCUUUUCCAUAUUCUUGAACCUCGUUUACAUCUGGCUAGUUUUUGAUCUAUUAUUUUGCAAUCUUUACUUUCCAAUCUAUAAACCAAAAAUAUCAAAAAUAUGUACUUUACCAUUUAUCUAUCUCUAUCAGAUCUCACUUUUGCCAGUGGCCGUGAAGGUAUUGACAAUCCCUUUAUCGCGUUGGUUGCAAGUUCUUGAUUGUUUGUGCAGGUAUUUGGUGACUUGUGCAUCAUCUCCUACUAUAUUGAUACCUUGGUUCACAAAACUGAGGGAAAUACUUACGCUACUUUGCUGCAUCACCCUUUCCUCUGCAAGGGAAAACCAACGCAAGAUCAAGAGGUAGCAAGAAGGAUUUCUGGCGCCGUUGCCGGGGAGAUCUACGCCAAGUCAAGCCAUACCAAGUACCCAUCAUAAACUCUUCUCCCUUUCAUUACAUUAUUGGCCAUUCGCCUCUCGUUUUCCUCUCCCCCACUUCUAAAAUGAUUUUCAAAAACCUUUGCCUUUUCUUUGCCUUCUCCCCAUAUGUCUUUUUGUUUUAUUUCCAUGUGCCUUCUAUUUGCUUGCAUCUUUGCUUGCUAAAAAUCUAUUGAUAUGGAUCCACUUAAAGUGUUCUACUUGGAUCAUCUUCGAUCCUUAUGCGCUCGUGCUGAAACCCCAACUAGCCUAGUUGAUGGGAAAUAUUUAGAUGAGCAUGUUCAUUUUGUGCAUCACCGUUUGUCUAAAAAAGGGAGACUCUUAUGGGAUCAAAUAAACAGAUUGUUGUGUUAUGCUUGGAAUCUUUGUAAAAUUUAUGGUUUUACUUGUUGCUCUAAGAACCCUAAAAAACACCUUCCCUACAUAUGUGAGUUUAAUGAUAAUGAAAUCUUAUCUUCUUAUGCAAUGGUUGUUUAUAGUUACUGUGAUAUUGAACAAAUUGAAGAAUUUGUUGCUUUUAGGGGUGCUUAUGAAGUUGCUUCUUUGAUUGAAAAGUAUGAUAUUACUCUAUGAAUAUGAAAAUUUUGACAUAGUUCAAUAUUGCUAUGAAAACUAUGCUCAUAAUGUCUAUGUCAAAGAAUUUAUUGAAAGAAUGACCGUUGCUUUGGAAGAAAAUAAUGAUAUGCAUGAAUCUAUAGAUAAUUAUGAUUCUGAUGAUUCGAUCGAAAUAUCCCUUGAUGAACAUGAUGCUUGCUAUUCUUGUGGCCAUGAUGCCAAUAUUUAUGAAGAUGAAUUUGCUAUAAUUCCUUAUGUUAAACGUGAGUUUUUUACUAUUGCACCCAUACUUGAUAGUUCCUUUGAUAAAAAGCAUGAUUGCACAGAUGUUACUAUAAAUUCUAUUGAUGUCAAUUAUGCUAAAAAUAUGCAAAACCCUAAGCUUGGGGAUGCAAGUUUUGUUAUGUCUACUAUUUGUUGCAAUGAUCAUGAUUGGGGUGAUUCUUCUUAUGAUCUUGAAAAUUUAGUUACGCCACAUGAUGAAUAUGAGAUUGAUAAUAAUGUUUGAAAUAAUUUUGAAAGUGGGUUUGGAAUAGUGUCAACUUUAGAUCCCACAUAUUUGGAGAAUGUUCAAUCUUAUGAAUUUUUUGAUAAAAGUGGGUUUGGAGAGGUCAUGACUUUAGUUAAUGUUAAUGCACUAUUUUGGGAGAGUGUCAACUUUGCAUGCAUGUGGAUCAUGUCGAUAAUAUGUUUUGUGAUAGCUAUAUUGUUGAAUUUUCUUAUGAUCCUACAUGUAAUUAUUAUGAGAGAGGAAAAUAUGGUCAUAGAAAUUUUCAUGUUACUAAAUUACCUCUUGUUAUAUUGAGAUUGCUAUUGUUUCUUUCCGCUUCCUUGCAUAUGCUAGUUUUUGCUUGCUAUGAUAAUUUGUUUGCUUAUAAAAUGCCUACGCAUAGGAAGUAUGUUAGACUUAGAUGUUUUUAUCACAAGUUCUAUGAUACUCUCUUUGUGCUUCAAUUCUUGUGUUUCAUGUGAGCAUCAUUAAAAUUACCAAUGCCUAGCUAAAAAGACUUUGAAGAAAAGCGCUUGUUGGGAGACAACCCAAUACUUAUUGUUCCUGCUUAGUAAUAAAUAAUUCAUAUAGCCUCUUGUUAGAUGUGGUUUUAUGUUUUAAUUAGUGAUUGUGCCAAGUAGAACCUUUGGGAAGACAUGGGUGAAGUCUUUGCGAUCUUGCUGUAAAAAACAGAAACUUUUGCGUUCACGAGAAUAGCUGUCAUUUUUUUCAGAGUGCUUUUAGGUUGAUUCUUUUUGCAGAAGAUUAACAGACAAAUUCCUCGCAUCCACCAAUUUAUUUCAGAAUUUUUGGAGUUACAUAAAUAUUCUAAAGUUACAGAUUUCUACAGAUUGUUCUGUUUUUGAUAGAUUCUGUUUUUCAUGUGUUGUUUGCUUAUUUUGAUGAAUCUAUGAGUAGUAUCGGGGGGUAUGAACCAUAGAGAAGUUGGAAUACAGUAGGUUUAACACCAAUAUAAAUAAAUAAUGAGUUCAUUACAGUAACUUAAAGUGGUGGUUUAUUUUCUUAUACUAACGGAGCUCAUGAGAUUUUCUGUUGAAGUUUUGUGUUGUGAAGUUUUCAAGUUUUGGGUAAGGAUUUGAUGGAUUUUGGAAUAAGGAGUGGCAAGAGCCUAAGCUUGGGGAUUCACAAGGCACCCCAAGGUAAAAUUCAAGGACAACCAAAAGCCUAAUAUUGGGGAUGCCCCAGAAGGCAUCCCCUCUUUCGUCUUCGUCUAUCGGUAACUUUACUUGAGGCUAUAUUUUUAUUCACCACAUGAUAUGUGUUUUCCUUGGAGUGUCUUGUAUGAUUUGAGUCUUUGCUUUUUAGUUUACCACAAUCAUCCUUGCUGUACACACCUUUUGGGAGAGACACGCAUGAAUCGUGAUUUAUUAGAAUACUCUAUGUGCUUCACUUAUAUCUUUUGAGCUAGACAAUAUUGCUCUAGUGCUUCAAUUAUAUCUUUUUAGAGCACGGUGGUGGCUUUAUUUUAUAGAAAUUGUUGAUAUCUCAUGCUUCACUUAUAUUAUUUUGAGAGUUUUCUAGAACAGCAUGGUAAUUUUCUUUGGUUAUAAAAUUAGUCCUAAUAUGAUGGCCAUCCAAGAUGGUUAUAAUAAAAACUUUCAUAUAAAGUGCAUUGAAUACUAUGAGAAGUUUGAUUCUUUAUGAUUGUUUUGAGAAAUGAAGAUAGUGAUAUUAGAGUCAUGCUAGUAGAGUAGUUGUGAAUUUGAGAGAUACUUGUGUUAAAGUUUGUGAUUCACGUAGCAUGCAUGUAUGGUGAACCGUUAUGUGAUGAAGUUGGAGCAUGAUUUGUUUAUUGAUUGUCUUCCUUAUGAGUGGCGGUCGGGGACGAGCGAUGGUCUUUUCCUACCAAUCUAUCCACCUAGGAGCAUGCACGUAGUACUUCGUUUUGAUAACUAAUAUAUGUUUGCAAUAAGUAUGUGAGUUCUUUAUGACUAAUGUUGAGUCCACGGAUUAUACGCACUCUCACCUUCCACCAUUGCUAGCCUCUCUAGUACCACACAACAUUCGUCGGUACCAUACACCCACCAUAUACCUUCCUCAAAACAGCCACCAUACCUACCUAUAUGGCAUUUCCAUAUCCAUUCUGAGAUAUAUUUCCAUGCAACUUUCCACCGUUCCGUUUAUUAUGACAUGCUCCAUCAUUGUCAUAUUUCUUUGCAUGAUCAUGUAAUUGACAUCGUAUUUGUGGCAAAGCCACUGUCCAUAAUUUUUCAUACAUGGCACUCUUGAAUCAUUGCACAUCCCAAUACACUGUCGGAGGCAUUCACAUAGAGUCAUAUUUUGUUCUAAGUAUCGAGUUGUAUUUCUUGAGUUGUAAGUAAAUAAAAGUGUGAGGAUCUUCAUUAUUAAAGCAUUGUCCCAGUGAGGAAAGGAUGAUGGAAACUAUGAUUCCUCCACAAGUCGAGAUGAGGCUCCGGACGAAAAAAAGGCCAUAAAAAAGGGAGAAAAGGCCCAAAUAAAAAAACGAGAGAAAAAGAGAGAAGGGGCAAUGUUACUAUCCUUUUUCCACACUUGUGAUUCAAAGUAGCACCAUGAUCUUCAUGAUAGAGAGUCUCCUAUGUUGUCACUUUCAUAUACUAGUGGGAAUUUUUCAUUAUAGAACUUGGCUUGUAUAUUCCAAUGAUGGGCUUCCUCAAAAGUGCCCUAGGUCUUCGUGAGCAAGCAAGUUGGAUGCACACCCACUUAGUUUCUUUUUGAGCUUUCAUACACUUAUAGCUCUAGUGCAUCUGUUGCAUGACAAUUCCUACUCACUCACAUUGAUAUCUAUUGAUGGGCAUCUCCAUAUCCCGUUGAUACGCCUAGUUGAUGUGAGACUAUCUUCUCCUUUUUGUCUUCUCCACAACCACCAUUCCAUUCCACGUAUAGUGCUAUAUCCAUGGCUCACGCUCAUGUAUUGCGUGAAGAUUGAAAAAGUUUGAGAACAUCAAACAUAUGAAAUAAUUGCUUGGCUUGUCAUCGGGGUUGUGCAUGAUUAAAUACUUUGUGUGAUGAAGAUAGAGCAUAGACAAACUAUAUGAUUUUGUAGGGAUAACUUUCUUUGACCAUGUUAUUUUGAGAAGAGAUGAUUGCUUUGUUAGUAUGCUUGAAGUAUUAUUGUUUUUAUGUCAAUAUUAAACUUCUGUCUUGAAUCUUUCGGAUCUGAACAUUCAUGCCACAAUAAAGAAAAUUACAUUGAUAAAUAUGUUAGGUAGAAUUCCACAUCAAAACUUCUGUUUUUAUCAUUAACCUACUCGAGGACGAGCAGGAAUUAAGCUUGGGGAUGCUUGAUACGUCUCCAAUGUAUCUAUAAAUUUUGAUUGUUCCAUGCUAUUAUAUUAUUUGUUUUGGAUGUUUAAUAGGCUUUAAUGUCCUCUUUUAUAUUAUUUUUGGGACUAACCUAUUAACCGAAGGCCCAGUGCCAGUUUCUGUUUUUUUGCCUAUUUUAGAGUUUUGCAGAAAAGGAAUACCAAACAGACUCCAAACAGAAUGGAACCUUCGCGAUGAUCAUUCUUGGACAAAGCAAACCACUUGAUAAUCUUAUACCCUAAAAACAUCAGGGGGAGCCACGAAACCACUUUUCCCCCGCCGCAACCUUAUGUACCCGUGAGAUCCCAUCUUGGGGCCUUUUUUGGCGAUCUACCCGAGGUGGAUUCAAUCAUGGACGGCUUGUACAUCAACACCAUUACCUCUCCGAUGAAGCGUGAGUAGUUUACCACAGACCUUCGGGUCCAUAGUUAUUAGCUAGAUGGCUUCUUCUCUCUCUUUGAUUCUCAAUACAAAGUUCUCCUCGAUGUUCUUGGAGAUCUAUUCGAUGUAAUACUCUUUUGUGGUGUGUUUGCCGAGAUCCGAUGAAUUGUGGAUUUAUUAUCAAGAUUAUCUAUGAAUAUUAUUUGGUUCUUCUCUGAAUUCUUAUAUGCAUGAUUUGAUAUCUUUGCAAGUCUCUUUGAAUUAUCAGUUUAGUUUGGCAUACUAGAUUGAUCUUUCUUGCGAUGAGAGAAGUGCUUAGCUUUGGGUUCAAUCUUGCGUUGUCCUUCCCCAGUGACAGUAGGGGCAGCAAGGCACGUAUUGUAUUGUUGCCAUCGAGGAUAAAAACAUGGGGUUUUUCAUCAUAUUACUUGAGUUAAUUCAUGUACAUCAUGUCAUCUUGCUUAAUGCGUUACUCCGUUCUUUAUGAACUUAAUACUCUAGAUGCAUGCUGGAUAGCGGUUGAUGUGUGGAGUAAUAGUAGUAGAUGCAGGUAGGAGUCGGUUUACUUGACACGGACAUGAUGCCUAUGUUCAUGAUCAUUGCCUUAGAUGUCAUCAUAAUUAUGCACUUUCCUAUCAAUUGCUCGGGAGUAAUUUGUUCACCCACCGUAAUACAUGCUAUCUCGAGAGAAGCCACUAGUGAAACCUAUGGCCCCCGGGUCUAUUUUCCAUAUUAUUGAAUCUCGUUUACAUCUUGCUAGUUUCCGAUCUAUUAUUUUGCAAUCUUUACUUUCCAAUCUAUAAACCAAAAAUACCAAAAAUAUUUACUUUACCAUUUAUCUAUCUCUAUCAGAUCUCACUUUUGCGAGUGACUAUGAAGGGAUUGACAACCCCUUUAUCGCAUUGGUUGCAAGUUCUUGUUUGUUUGUGCAGGUAUUCGGUGACUUAUGUGUCGUCUCCUACUAGAUUGAUACCUUGGUUCUCAAAAAUGAGGGAAAUACUUAAGCUACUUUUCUGCAUCACCCUUUCCUCUUCAAGGUAAAACCAACGCAAGCUCAAGAGGUAGCAGUUAGUCAUGAUCUUUGCUGCAAACAUGGGUGCUACUUAAGCUUAUUUAUGUAAACAAGAACAAAUGAGUUCAUCAAAGUUUUUCUUUAUCACUUCCAGUUUGUCAACUGAAUUACUGACAUUGUUUUCAGCAGAACUAUCAUGGUGUUGCUUUUGUGCAGAAAUAAAAGUCUUAGAAUGGAAUGAAAAUUUUUGGAGAACUAUUUUACAAUAAAUGAAAAGUACUAGAGCCAAGAACCAUCGGAGGGGGGCCCUAGUUGAGCACAAGACACCAGGGCGCCUCAUGGCCCCACUAUAAAAUCCUAUUUUUCCAUAAAAAAUAGAGAGAAAGUUUUAUUGCGCUUUAUGUUACGGGGCCGCUACCGCCUCCUGUUCUUCAUCGGGAGGCCAGAUCUGGAGUCCGUUUGGGGCUCCAGAUCUAGGCUCCAGAGGUGGGAAUCUUCGGUCUUCGUCAUCACCAACCCUCCUUCAUCACAAAUUCUAUGAUGCUCCCACCGGGAGUGAGUAAUUCCUUUGUAGGCUCUCUGGUCGGUCAGGAGUUGGAUGAGAUUCAUCAUGUAAUCGAGUUAGUUUUGUUAGGGCUUGAUCCCUACUAUCCACUAUGUUCUGAGAUUGAUGUUGCUAUGACUUUUCCAUGCUUAAUGCUUGUCACUAGGGCCCGAGUGUCAUGAUUUCAGAUCUGAACCAUUUAUGUUUUCACCAUUAUAUCUAUGUUCUAGAUCUGAUCUUGCAAGCUAUAUGCACCUGCUAUAUGUUAUGAUCCAUAAACCCUAGGGUGACAGUAAUUGGGAUACUUUCUGGUGAUGAUCGUAGUUUGAGGAGUUCAUGUAUUCACUAUGUGUUAAUGCUUUGUUCCAGUUCUCUAUUAAAAGGAGGCCUUAAUAUCCCUUAGUUUCCUUAUGGACCCCGCUGCCAUAGGAGGGUAGGCCAAAAGAUGUCAUGCAAGUUCUUUUCCAUAAGCAUGUAUGACUAUUUAUGGAAUACAUGCCUACAUUAUAUUUAUGAACUGGAGCUAGUUCUAUAUCGCCCUAGGUUAUGAUUGUUAUAUGAUGAAUAUCAUCCAACGAAUUCACCGAUCCAAUGCCUACCAGUUUUCCACUUAUUGUUCUUGCUAAGUGACAAUCAUUUCUCGUAUUGUAUCUGCGUCAAUAUAUUCCGCAAGGAGCAAGGGAUGAUGCAGUACAUCGAAGGUAGGUAUUUCCCUCAGUUAUGAAACCAAGGUUGUCGAACCAGUAGGAGAACCAAGCAACACUAUGUAAAUGGUACCUACACACAAAGAUCAAAUACUUGCAACUCGACGCAAAGAGGGGUUGUCAAUCCCUCCUGGGUAAAAGAUUGGUAAAGUGAUAGAUAGAUAGAUAGAUAGAUAGAUAGAUAGAUAGAUGAAAAUAAAGUAAAGGCAAAUAAAAUUCAGCGAGGUAUUUUUGGGUUUUUGAUAAUAUAGAUCUGAAAAUAAAAGAUGCAAAUAAAUAAAAAGGCAAAUAGCAAUAUAGAUCUGAAGAUAUAUGAUGAGAAAAUAGACCCGGGGGUUGUAGGCUUCACUAGUGGCUUUUCUCGAGAAAAUAGCAUAUGGUGGGUAAACAAAUUACUGUUGGGCAAUUGAUAGAAAUUCAAUAAUUAUGAUGAUAUCCAGGCAAUGAUCAUUAUAUAGGCAUCACAUCCAAGAUUAGUAGACCGACUCCUGCCUGCAUCUAUAACUAUUACUCCACACAUCGACUGCUAUCCAACAUGCAUCUAGUGUAUUAAGUUCAUGGAGAAACGUAGCAAUGCAAUAAGAAUGAUGACAUGAUGUAGGCAAGAUCUAUAUAUGUAGGAAUAGACCCCAUCUUGCUAUCCUUAACAGCAACGAUCAAUACGUGUCUUGCUACCCCUUCUGUCACUGGGAAAGAACACUGCAUGAUCGAACCCAUCACAAAGCACCUCUUCCCAUGGCAACAAAAAUUGAUCAAGUCAAACCAACUAAACCAACGAUUCGAAGAAGAAAUAUGAGGCUAUAAGUAAUCAUGCAUAUAAGAGAUCAAAGAGACUAAAAUAACUUUCAUGGAUAAAAAGAUCUGAUCAUAAACUAAAAGUUCAUCGGAUCCCAACAAACACACUACAAAAUGAGUUACAUCAAAUAGAUCUCCAAGAGACCAUUGUAUUGAUAUCAAAAGAAAGAGAGCAAGCCAUCUAGCUACUAACUACGGACAUGUAGGUCUACAAUGAACUACUCACACAUCAUCGGAAAGGCACCAAUGAGGAUGAUGAACCCCUUUGUGAUGGUGUCUAGAUUGGAUUUGGUGUUUCUAGAACUUGCGGCGGAUGGAAUUGUGUUUCGUUGACUCCCCUAGGGUUUUUGGAUUUUCGGGGUAUUUAUAGAGCAAAGAGGUUGUGCGGGAGGUGGCUGAGGUGGGCAGAACCCACCAGGGCACGCCUGGCCCCCAGGCACGCCCACGUGGGUUGUGCCCCCCUCGGAGCUCCCCUCUGGUACUUCUUUGGCCCAACAUGUAUCUUUUGGUCCAGAAAAAUUGUACAAAAAGUUUCGCUGCAUUUGGACUCCAUUUGGUACUGAUAUUCUAUGAAGCAAAAAACAAGCAAAAAACAGCAACUAGCACUGGCCACUAUGUUAGUAGGUUAGUCCUAAAAAUGAUAUAAAGUUGCUAUAAAGUGACACUACUAGGGAAAAGCUAUACACAGGAUAUUACCAGGAGCGCAUUCUAAAAUAAGGCGCUAUUGCAAUAUAGCAGUAGCGUGCUCCAGCAGAACACGCUACUGAAAUAAGAGUAGCAGUAGCGCGCCUGCACUAAGUCGCGCUACUGCUACAAUUCCCAUGACCCCGCCACAAAGCUAGUUAUAGCAGCAGUGUGUUAAAUCAAAGUGCGCUACUGCUAGGUAGUUUAGCAGUAGCGCCUUUACCUAUAGCGCGCUACUACUAAAACUAGCUAUCUCCCACCACCCACGCUCUCCUCUAUCUGAUCCACACUCACACUCACACUCACUCCAUCUCCCCCUCAACCCCCUGCGCUGCUCCUCCCUCGCUGGCCGCCGGCGCCCCCGCCAGCCGUCGUCGCCCACCCCUCUUCCCUCCACGCCGCCGUCACCUCCUACUCCUUGGUGGACUCGGUACCGCCCACCUCCUCCGUCCUCCCUCGACUCGCCGCCGGCCGGCCCCUCCUCGCUCCGCCCUUCCUCCUCCGUCCUACUCUCUCCUCCCUCCUCCAGUCGCCCCUCCUUCUCCCUCCUCCCUCCUCCAUCCACAACCCUCCUCCCUGCUACAUUUUGAUUUAGUAGGCUAGAUCAUAUGCAACAUUUUGAUUUAGUUCAUAUGAUUUAGUUGAUUUAGUUCAUUUAGAACAUUUUGAUUUAGUUGAUUUAGUAGGCAAGUUGAUUUAGUAGGCUAGUUGAUUUCGUUGAUUUAUAGAACAUUUUGAUUUAGUUGAUUUAGUAGGCAAGUUGAUUUAAUAGGCUAGUUGAUUUAGUUGAUUUAUAGAAUAUUUUGAUUUAGUUGAUUUAGUAGGCAAGUUGAUUUAAUAGGCUAGUUGAUUUAGUUGAUUUAAUAGUGAAGUGGAUCAUUAAUCCUUUGCUCAUAUUGCUUUAGGAAAAUGGCGCCGCCACCACCACCAUGUCGACUGUGCAAGUCAAGGUGCGCCAGCAGCCUUGCAACUGGCAAGCUGUUCGGCAUCUACUUCCAGCCGAGUUUUUCUCAUGCGGUGGUAAGAAAUUAUAUGAACUGUAACAACUAUUUUAUUUUUAGUGUUGGCAUUACUGCAUUGUGUCAUUUUGCUUUUUUACACAGAUCGUCCCAUGCAAUGUGAGGUUGAAAUUCAACAAGCUGACAGGAGACACUAUGACAUUUGAGGCUCCUGGGGGCGUACACUAUGGAGGUCGAGAAAGGACGCAAUAUGUCGCGGAUUGGAGGAGAUGGAUGGGCCCAUUUCCUAGCCCGCAUUCGUCUUACUGGUAGUGAGUUGAUCAGCUUCUCCUUCAAAGCAGAAAGACCCAAGUUGGCUAUCAUUUAUAUCAACCUGGUGGAAGAUGAUGAAGAUGACGAAGAUGAUGAAGAUAAUGAGGACCCACUCGAUGAAGAUGAUGAGGACCCACUUCAUGAAGCCAUCAUAGUUCAAAGAAUGAGGCUGAGGGAGGAGGAGGUGUUCAACCUAUGGGACAUAAUUCCGCCAUGUGCUGACUUUGUCGGGGUGCCACUCGUGACCCACCUGACAAGUACCAUGGUCGAUCGACAUGAUAUGGUAUGUUAUACUUACAAAUGCAAAUUAUCCGAUGAUAUGCUUAGUGUAGAGUCCAAUGAUAUGUUGUGUGGAAUCUAGUCGAUGAUAUAAUGCUUUAGUGUAGAGUUCGAUCACAUGCUUAUUAGUGUAGAAUCUAAGGAACUAUUAAUAGUGUAGAUAAUCCAUAUAUACCUAUUUGCAAGAGUAUGUGCGAGGCUAUUUAUUAAUUGAUAUGUUUUUCUUAUUCAGAAAUUGGCAAAGAGCCUAUCUGUGAGUUAUGGUAUCGAGCCUGAUGAAGAAGGCUCAGCUGGACUACACCUUACCGCAAGGGGCUCCCUCACAACAUGUACUUACGGCAUGGACACAGAUGGUCGCACACACUUAAACCCGGUUGGGUGGAAGAGAUUCCUCGAUGGCAAGAAUCUUCGUGUUGGACAGGCCAUCCUAAUUACUAUCAGGAACACCCACCGUCCAGGCUUGAGGAUGAUGAUCGUCUUCGAUAUCAUCUAGAACUACAUAUGUGUGUGUGGAUAUAUCAUCUAGAACUACAUAUGAUGAUCGUCACCGAUAUCAUCUAGAACUACAUAUGAUGAUCGUCGUCGAUAUGACCUUGUACUGCUUGAGGAUGCAUGUUGACUAUACAUGAAAUUGUUAUCUAGUACUCCCUUCGUUCCAAAUUACUCGUCGUGGGUUGAACUAAAACCACGACGACUAAUUUGGAACGGAGGGACUACUACCUAGUACCUAUAAUGCUUCAUGAAAUUGAUAUCUAGUAGUACCUUGUAUCUGAAAAUUGCAGUUUAUUGGAACCGAAAUGGGGUAGGAAGCAAGGAAAAUGAUGAAAGAUAUAGCAAUAGCGAGGGGCUAGGAAAUCACUACAGCUAACUAAUAGUAGCGCAUUCCAGAAAAGCGCUGCUGAUAUAGUCAACAGUAGUAGCACGGGUGCGGACCACGCUACUACUAACAGUUAGUUGUAGCGCCGUAGUAGUAGCGCGGCUGCCCGUGCUGCUGCGAGCCUCAAAACCUGCACUACUAUGAGGGUUUUCCCUAGUUGUGUGAUUGUAAAACAUCCAAGAAUGAUAAUAUAAUAGAACAAUCAAAAAUUAUAGAUACGUUGGAGACGUAUCAGCAUCCCCAAGCUUAGUUCCUCCUCGGCCUCGAGUAGGUAAAUGAUAAAAACAGAAUUUUUCAUCUGGAAUGCUGCAUAUCAAGUUCAUCACAUUCUUUUUUUUAUUAGCAUGGCCAUAUGGACUUUUAUAAGGUUCAAAGCAACAGCCUAGUUUUCACAUGAAGGUUUAAAUACUCAAGCAUAUCAAAAAGCAACCAUGUCUUCAAAAUAUCAACACUAAAGCGAGUUAUCCCUAGCCCAUCAUGCUCAAUCAUUGAUCCAUUCAUGAAACACACUCGCAUAUUAGCUACAUCCAAUGCUUAAGUAUGAUCAUAGUUCCCCUUAGUUGGUGCUUGAUAAGAGAAGAUGGAGACUCAAUAAAAAUAAAAAUUUCAUAACGUAAAUAGAAAGGCCCUUCGCAGAGGGAGGGAGGGAUUUGUAGAGGUGCUUGAGCUCAAAGCGAAAAGGAGAGAUAAAAACAUUGUGGGUGGCAUACUUUUCCCAUCAAUGAAAACGACCAAGUAAUUCCCAACACUUUCCAUGCCAGAUAUAUCAUAGGCAGUGACCAAACAGAAAAUAAAGUUUACCUUUUCCACCAUUCUUUCACAUUCCACGGCUAGCCCUAUCCACGGGUACCGUCCAUACUAGCACUUUCCCAGGAAUUUAUUAUUUGGAACAUAAAGUAAAUUCAUUUUUCAUUUCAGGACAGGGCAUCCCUAAUACCUUUGUCGUACUCUCGUACAAUGACAAGUGAAUAAACACUCAUCUUGAGAAUAACACAUCUAGCAUGGAAAAUAUUGGCCACCCCCUGCUGCUUCAUGAGCGGUACAAGCACACAAAACGAAACUUAUUUUGAAAAUUAGAGAUGGCACAUACAAAUUUGCUUAGAACAGCACGGAAAUACCGCAUAUAGGUAGGUAUUGUGGACUCAAAUGGUGAAACUGGGUUUAAGGAUUUUGGAUGCACAAGUAGUAUUUCUACUUAGUACAAGUGAAGGCCAGUAAAAAGAUUGAGAAGCAUUCAACCGAGAAACAAAAAAUCACAUAAGCGAGCAUUAAGCAUAACUAAUACCGAAUAAUGCACCACAAGUAGGAUGUAAUUUCACUGCAUAACUAUUGACUUUUGUGCUUGCAUAGGGAAUCACAAACCUUAACACCAAUAUUAUUACUAAAGCAUAAUUACUCAUCAACAUGACUCACGUAUCACUAUCAUCAUAUCUCAAAACUAUUACAAAGAAUCAAGUUUAUUUUGUCCAAUCAUCUUCAUGAAAGUUUUUAUUAUAUCGCUCUUGAAUAUCUAUCACUUUGGGACUAGUUUCAUAUGUUGCAAUUGCUUUCUGACAAUCUCAAACAAAUUUAUGUGAAGAACAUGAGCAUAAAGAUUUUCAUCUCUCAAAAUAAUAUAAGUGAAGCAUGAGAGAGUUUCUUCAAAAAUACUAACUCUCAAAUAGAUCUAAGUGAAUCAUGAGAGCAUUUUUUUCAAAAUUAUCAAAGCACGCCGUGCUCAAAAAGAUAUGAGUGAAGCACUAGAGCAACUCUAUAGCUCAAAAAAUAAUAAUUGAAGCAUAAAGAGUAAUUCUAACAAAUCAUACCAUAAUUUUGGCUCUCUCAAAUAGGUGUGUUCAGCAAGGAUACUUGAAACACAAAAAAAAGCAAAACAAGAAAAGAUUCAUAUAAUACAAGAGGCUCCAAGUAAAACUAAUGAUAUGUGACAAAUAAAAAUAUAGCUCCAAGUAAAAUACCGAUGGUCGUUAGAAGAAAGAGGGGAUGUCUUCUGGGGCAUCCCCAAGCUUAGUUUCUCGUUCACUCUUGAAUAUCAUCUAGGGGUACCAUGGGUCAUCCCCAAGCUUAGGCUCUUCCUUCUCCUUAUUCCUUCAUCCAUCGUGAUCUUACCCAAAACUUGAAAACUUCAAUCAUACAAAACUUAACAAAACCUUCGUGAGAUCCGUUAGUAUAACAAAGCAAAUCACCACUCUAAGUACUAUUGCAAACACAUUCAUAUUUUAUUUUUGCAUUAUAUCUACUGUAUUCCAAAUUUUCUAUGGCUUAUACCCCCCGAUAAAGUCCAUAGAUUCAUCAAAAUAAGCACACAAUGCAAAGAAAAUAGAAUCUGUCAAAAACAGAAUAGUCUGUAGCAAUCUGAAAACUUCGUAUACUUCUCUAACUCAAAAAUUCUGAAAAAUUAGGACAAUGUGGGUAAUUUGUACAUAAAUCUCGUGUAAAAACUUCAGAGAGAAAUCACGUUUCUGUGAUUUAUGAAAAUUAUUUUACUGAGCGCAAAAGUUUUUGUUUUCCAACAAGAUCGAAUCAACUAUCACCCAGCAUGAUCCCAAAGGUUUAGCUUGGCACAAACACUAAUUGAAACAUAAAAGCACAAUUAAAAUAGAGGAAUAAUUGUGAAAACACUCAAGAACAGAAAUAAAAAGGAAAAAAUAAAUUUUAUUCAUUGGGUUGCGUCCCAACAAGCGCUAUCGUUUUAUGCCCCUAGCUAGGCAUAAAGCAUAGAUUCAAGUAUUGCCAUCUAUAGUUCUAGAUACAUAAGAUGCCCUCAUGAUUGAUUCAUAUGGUGGAUUAGUUCUUGUUCUAGGCAAGUAUUCUAUACCCUUUCUUAGUGGAAAUUGAAAUUUAAUAUUGCCUUCUUUCAUAUCAAUCACGGCACCUAUAGUGCGUAAAACGGUCUACCAAGUAUAAUUGGAAAAGACGGACUGCAAUCAAUAUCAAGAACAAUAAAAUCUAUGGGCACAUAAUUCCUAUUUGCAAGAAUAAGAACAUCAUUAAUUGUUCCCAAAGGCUUUUUAAUAGUAGAAUCCGACAAGUGCAAAUUUAAAGAACAGUCUUCAAUAUCGGUAAGACCAAGCACAUCACAUAAACAAUUCGGAAUUGUGGAAACACUACCACCCAAAUCACAUAAAGAAAAACACUCAUAAUUUUGAUCUUUACUUUGAUGGUACGUUCCCAUUCAUCAUGUAAUUUUCUAGGAAUUGAAAUCUCUAAUUCCAACUUUUCUUCAAAAGCUUUCAUCAUAGCAUCUACGGUAUGUUUAGUAAAAGUUCUGUUUUAUUUAUAAGCAUGGGGUGAAUUUAUCAUGGAUUCAAAAAAAGAAAUAGAGUCAAUCAAAUAGCAACUAUCAUAAUUAAAGUCUUUGUAAUCAAAAGAGUGGGCUGUCGGGGAAGCUGAUCCACGAACACCUAUGGGACCGGCGGACCGAGCCCCUUUCGGUUCGGCGGGGGGCGGAGAUCGCAUGAAGAGCGGAUCGAGGCGAAGCACACGAGCAAUUUACCCAGCUUCGGAGCUCUCCAGAGAGAUAACACUCCUACUGAUGCAUGUCUAGGUGUAUUGAGUUCUUGCUCAGGAGCGCUGAGUGCUACAGUACACACUAGCUGCUAACGAGACCGAGCGUGAGUGUUUUUCUGCCUUCCCACCCCCCCUCUACGUUGCGCAUGGGCCUCCUUUUAUAUGCUAAAGGGGUCUCCGACAGGUGGCAACGUAGACAAGGGUAAAAAUGGAAAAGGAAUUGCGGUUGGUACAACUACCUGUACAGUGUAUCAUACCUAACCCUGACGGCAGGGGACAAAGGCAUUAAAUGCCCGUCUAUGUCGCCCGAAUAGUGCAAAAAGGGACCGUCAAGGACGCCACCGCUUGCCACGAUGGCAAUCUUGUCAGCGUCGCUUGCCACCGCGCACCGCUGGUCGCACAGCCUCUUGCCACGCGCGCCUGGAAAGGUCCCAGGGCGACACGUUGGUGGAUGUGCUGGAGCGCGGGUAACGAGUGGUAGUUUGCCGCGGCAAGCGCCUUGCCAUGGUCGUUGUCUUGUCGCGUCCGGAAGCUUGUCGCUCACCGGGCCUUGCCGGGACGCGUGGCGUGUCGCGGCAAGUUCCUUGAGAUGCCUUGGUUGGCCUUCCCGGCAAGCUCCUCUUGCCGGGGCCUUGUCUCCUUGGCUUGAAUACUUUGUUCUUGAAUGGAUCCAAAGGAACAACGGAGGACCUUGGCGGUCAUCCGGCAAGCCUUGCCNNNNNNNNNNNNNNNNNNNNNNNNNNNNNNNNNNNNNNNNNNNNNNNNNNNNNNNNNNNNNNNNNNNNNNNNNNNNNNNNNNNNNNNNNNNNNNNNNNNNAUUCGAAGAAGAAAUAUGAGGCUAUAAGUAAUCAUGCAUAUAAGAGAUCAAAGAGACUAAAAUAACUUUCAUGGAUAAAAAGAUCUGAUCAUAAACUAAAAGUUCAUCGGAUCCCAACAAACACACUACAAAAUGAGUUACAUCAAAUAGAUCUCCAAGAGACCAUUGUAUUGAUAUCAAAAGAAAGAGAGGAAUCCAUCUAGCUACUAACUACGGACAUGUAGGUCUACAAUGAACUACUCACACAUCAUCGGAAAGGCACCAAUGAGGAUGAUGAACCCCUUUGUGAUGGUGUAUAGAUUGGAUUUGGUGUUUCUAGAACUUGCGGCGGCUGGAAUUGUGUUUCGUCGACUCCCCUAGGGUUUUUGGAUUUUCGGGGUAUUUAUAGAGCAAAGAGGUUGUGCGGGAGGUGGCUGAGGUGGGCAAAACCCACCAGGGCACGCCUGGCCCCCAGGCACGCCCACGUGGGUUGUGCCCCCCUCGGAGCUCCCCUCUGGUACUUCUUUGGCCCAACAUGUAUCUUUUGGUCCAGAAAAAUUGUACAAAAAGUUUCGCUGCAUUUGGACUCCAUUUGGUACUGAUAUUCUGUGAAGCAAAAAACAAGCAAAGAACAGCAACUAGCACUGGCCACUAUGUUAGUAGGUUAGUCCUAAAAAUGAUAUAAAGUUGCUAUAAAGUGACACUACUAGGGAAAAGCUAUACACAGGAUAUUACCAGCAGCGCAUUCUAAAAUAAGGCGCUAUUGCAAUAUAGCAGUAGCGUGCUCCAACAGAACACGCUACUGAAAUAAGAGUAGCAGUAGCGCGCCUGCACUAAGUCGCGCUACUGCUACAAUUCCCAUGACCCCGCCACGAAGCUAGUUAUAGCAGCAGUGUGUUAAAUCAAAGUGCGCUACUGCUAGGUAGUUUAGCAGUAGCGCCUUUACCUAUAGCGCGCUACUACUAAAACUAGCUAUCUCCCACCACCCACGCUCUCCUCUAUCUGAUCCACACUCACACUCACACUCACUCCAUCUCCUCCUCAACCCCCCGCGCUGGUCCUCCCCCGCUGGCCGCCGGCGCCCCCGCCAGCCAUCGUCGCCCACCCCUCUUCCCUCCGCGCCGCCGUCACCUCCUACUCCUUGGUGGACUCGGUACCGCCCACCUCCUCCGUCCUUCCUCGACUCGCAGCCAGCCGGCCCCUCCUCGCUCUGCCCUUCCUCCUCCGUCCUACUCUCUCCUCCCUCCUCCAGUCGCCCCUCCUUCUCCCUCCUCCCUCCUCCAUCCACAACCCUCCUCCCUGCUACAUUUUGAUUUAGUAGGCUAGAUCAUAUGCAACAUUUUGAUUUAGUUCAUAUGAUUUAGUUGAUUUAGUUCAUUUAGAACAUUUUGAUUUAGUUGAUUUAGUAGGCAAGUUGAUUUAGUAGGCUAGUUGAUUUCGUUGAUUUAUAGAACAUUUUGAUUUAGUUGAUUUAGUACGCAAGUUGAUUUAAUAGGCUAGUUGAUUUAGUUGAUUUAUAGAAUAUUUUGAUUUAGUUGAUUUAGUAGGCAAGUUGAUUUAAUAGGCUAGUUGAUUUAGUUGAUUUAAUAGUGAAGUGGAUCAUUAAUCCUUUGCUCAUAUUGCUUUAGGAAAAUGGCGCCGCCACCACCACCAUGUCGACUGUGCAAGUCAAGGUGCGCCAGCAGCCUUGCAACUGGCAAGCUGUUCGGCAUCUACUUCCAGCCGAGUUUUUCUCAUGCGGCGGUAAGAAAUUAUAUGAACUAUAACAACUAUUUUAUUUUUAGUGUUGGCAUUACUGCAUUGUGUCAUUUUGCUUUUUUUUACACAGAUCGUCCCAUGCAAUGUGAGGUUGAAAUUCAACAAGCUGACAGGAGACACUAUGACAUUUGAGGCUCCUGGGGGCAUACACUAUGGAGGUCGAGAAAGGACGCAAUAUGUCGCGGAUUGGAGGAGAUGGAUGGGCCCAUUUCCUAGCCCGCAUUCGUCUUACUGGUAGUGAGUUGAUCAGCUUCUCCUUCAGAGCAGAAAGACCCAAGUUGGCUAUCAUUUAUAUCAACCUGGUGGAAGAUGAUGAAGAUGACGAAGAUGAUGAAGAUAAUGAGGACCCACUCGAUGAAGAUGAUGAGGACCCACUUCAUGAAGCCAUCGUAGUUCAAAGAAUGAGGCUGAGGGAGGAGGAGGUGUUCAACCUAUGGGACAUAAUUCCGCCAUGUGCUGACUUUGUCGGGGUGCCACUCGUGACCCACCUGACAAGUACCAUGGUCGAUCGACAUGAUAUGGUAUGUUAUACUUACAAAUGCAAAUUAUCUGAUGAUAUGCUUAGUGUAGAGUCCAAUGAUAUGUUGUGUGGAAUCUAGUCGAUGAUAUAAUGCUUUAGUGUAGAGUUCGAUCACAUGCUUAUUAGUGUAGAAUCUAAGGAACUAUUAAUAGUGUAGAUAAUCCAUAUAUACCUAUUUGCAAGAGUAUGUGCGAGGCUAUUUAUUAAUUGAUAUGUUUUUCUUAUUCAGAAAUUGGCAAAGAGCCUAUCUGUGAGUUAUGGUAUCGAGCCUGAUGAAGAAGGCUCAGCUGGACUACACCUUACCGCAAGGGGCUCCCUCACAACAUGUACUUACGGCGUGGACACAGAUGGUCGCACACACUUAAACCCGAUUGGGUGGAAGAGAUUCCUCGAUGGCAAGAAUCUUCGUGUUGGACAGGCCAUCCUAAUUACUAUCAGGAACACCCACCGCCCAGGCUUGAGGAUGAUGAUCAUCUUCGAUAUCAUCUAGAACUACAUAUGUGUGUGUGGCUAUAUCAUCUAGAACUACAUAUGAUGAUCGUCACCGAUAUCAUCUAGAACUACAUAUGAUGAUCGUCGUCGAUAUGACCUUGUACUGCUUGAGGAUGCAUGUUGACUAUACAUGAAAUUGUUAUCUAGUACUCCCUUCAUUCCAAAUUACUCUUCGUGGGUUGAACUAAAACCACGACGACUAAUUUGGAACGGAGGGAGUACUGCCUAGUACCUAUAAUGCUUUAUGAAAUUGAUAUCUAGUAGUACCUUGUAUCUGAAAAUUGCAGUUUAUUGGAACCGAAAUGGGGUAGGAAGCAAGGAAAAUGAUGAAAGAUAUAGCAAUAGCGAGGGGCUAGGAAAUCACUACAGCUAACUAAUAGUAGCGCAUUCCAGAAAAGCGCUGCUGAUAUAGUCAACAGUAGUAGCACGGGUGCAGACCACGCUACUACUAACAGUUAGCUGUAGCGCCGUAGUAGUAGCGCGGUUGCCCGUGCUGCUGCGAGCCUCAAAACCUGCACUACUAUGAGGGUUUUCCCUAGUAGUGUGAUUGUAAAACAUCCAAGAAUGAUAAUAUAAUAGAACAAUCAAAAAUUAUAGAUACGUUGGAGACGUAUCAGCAUCCCCAAGCUUAGUUCCUGCUCGUCCUCGAGUAGGUAAAUGAUAAAAACAGAAUUUCUCAUCUGGAAUGCUGCCUAUCAAGUUCAUCACAUUCUUUUCUUUAUUAGCAUGGCCAUAUGGACUUUUAUAAGGUUCAAAGCAACAGCCUAGUUUUCACAUAAAGGUUUAAAUACUCAAGCAUAUCAAAAAGCAACCAUGUCUUCAAAAUAUCAACACUAAAGCGAGUUAUCCCUAGCCCAUCAUGCUCAAUCAUUGAUCCAUUCAUGAAACACACUCGCAUAUUAGCUACAUCCAAUGCUUAAGUAUGAUCAUAGUUCCCCUUAGUUGGUGCUUGAUAAGAGAAGAUGGAGACUCAAUAAAAAUAAAAAUUUCAUAACGUAAAUAGAAAGGCCCUUCGCAGAGGGAGGGAGGGAUUUGUAGAGGUGCUUGAGCUCAAAGCGAAAAGGAGAGAUAAAAACAUUGUGGGUGGCAUACUUUUCCCAUCAAUGAAAACGACCAAGUAAUUCCCAACACUUUCCAUGCCAGAUAUAUCAUAGGCAGUGACCAAACAGAAAAUAAAGUUUACCUUUUCCACCAUUCUUUCACAUUCCACGGCUAGCCCUAUCCACGGGUACCGUCCAUACUAGCACUUUCCCAGGAAUUUAUUAUUUGGAACAUAAAGUAAAUUCAUUUUUCAUUUCAGGACAGGGCAUCCCUAAUACCUUUGUCGUACUCUCAUACAAUGACAAGUGAAUAAACACUCAUCUUGAGAAUAACACAUCUAGCAUGGAAAAUAUUGGCCACCCCCUGCUGCUUCAUGAGCGGUACAAGCACACAAAACGAAACUUAUUUUGAAAAUUAGAGAUGGCACAUACAAAUUUGCUUAGAACAGCACGGAAAUACCGCAUAUAGGUAGGUAUUGUGGACUCAAAUGGUGAAACUGGGUUUAAGGAUUUUGGAUGCACAAGUAGUAUUUCUACUUAGUACAAGUGAAGGCCAGUAAAAAGAUUGAGAAGCAUUCAACCGAGAAACAAAAAAUCACAUAAACGAGCAUUAAGCAUAACUAAUACCGAAUAAUGCACCACAAGUAGGAUGUAAUUUCACUGCAUAACUAUUGAAUUUUGUGCUUGCAUAGGGAAUCACAAACCUUAACACCAAUAUUAUUACUAAAGCAUAAUUACUCAUCAACAUGACUCACGUAUCACUAUCAUCAUAUCUCAAAACUAUUACAAAGAAUCAAGUUUAUUUUGUCCAAUCAUCUUCAUGAAAGUUUUUAUUAUAUCGCUCUUGAAUAUCUAUCACUUUGGGACUAGUUUCAUAUGUUGCAAUUGCUUUCUGACAAUCUCAAACAAAUUUAUGUGAAGAACAUGAGCAUAAAGAUUUUCAUCUCUCAAAAUAAUAUAAGUGAAGCAUGAGAGAGUUUCUUCAAAAAUACUAACUCUCAAAUAGAUCUAAGUGAAUCAUGAGAGCAUUUUUUUCAAAAUUAUCAAAGCACGCCGUGCUCAAAAAGAUAUGAGUGAAGCACUAGAGCAACUCUAUAGCUCAAAAAAUAAUAAUUGAAGCAUAAAGAGUAAUUCUAACAAAUCAUACCAUAAUUUUGGCUCUCUCAAAUAGGUGUGUUCAGCAAGGAUACUUGAAACACAAAAAAAAAGCAAAACAAGAAAAGAUUCAUAUAAUACAAGAGGCUCCAAGUGAAACUAAUGAUAUGUGACAAAUAAAAAUAUAGCUCCAAGUAAAAUACCGAUGGUCGUUAGAAGAAAGAGGGGAUGUCUUCUGGGGCAUCCCCAAGCUUAGUUUCUCGUUCACUCUUGAAUAUCAUCUAGGGUUACCAUGGGGCAUCCCCAAGCUUAGGCUCUUCCUUCUCCUUAUUCCUUCAUCCAUCAUGAUCUUACCCAAAACUUGAAAACUUCAAUCAUACAAAACUUAACAAAACCUUCGUGAGAUCCGUUAGUAUAACAAAGCAAAUCACCACUCUAAGUACUAUUGCAAACACAUUCAUAUUUUAUUUUUGCAUUAUAUCUACUGUAUUCCAAAUUUUCUAUGGCUUAUACCCCCCGAUAAAGUCCAUAGAUUCAUCAAAAUAAGCACACAAUGCAAAGAAAAUAGAAUCUGUCAAAAACAGAAUAGUCUGUAGCAAUCUGAAAACUUCGUAUACUUCUGUAACUCAAAAAUUCUGAAAAAUUAGGACAAUGUGGGUAAUUUGUACAUAAAUCUCGUGUAAAAACUUCAGAGAGAAAUCACGUUUCUGUGAUUUAUGAAAAUUAUUUUACUGAGCGCAAAAGUUUUUGUUUUCCAACAAGAUCGAAUCAACUAUCACCCAGCAUGAUCCCAAAGGUUUAGCUUGGCACAAACACUAAUUGAAACAUAAAAGCACAAUUAAAAUAGAGGAAUAAUUGUGAAAACACUCAAGAACAAAAAUAAAAAGGAAAAAAUAAAUUUUAUUCAUUGGGUUGCGUCCCAACAAGCGCUAUCGUUUUAUGCCCCUAGCUAGGCAUAAAGCAUAGAUUCAAGUAUUGCCAUCUAUAGUUCUAGAUACAUAAGAUGCCCUCAUGAUUGAUUCAUAUGGUGGAUUAGUUCUUGUUCUAGGCAAGUAUUCUAUACCCUUUCUUAGUGGAAAUUGAAAUUUAAUAUUGCCUUCUUUCAUAUCAAUCACGGCACCUAUAGUGCGUAAAACGGUCUACCAAGUAUAAUUGGAAAAGACGGACUGCAAUCAAUAUCAAGAACAAUAAAAUCUAUGGGCACAUAAUUCCUAUUUGCAAGAAUAAGAACAUCAUUAAUUGUUCCCAAAGGCUUUUUAAUAGUAGAAUCCGACAAGUGCAAAUUUAAAGAACAGUCUUCAAUAUCGGUAAGACCAAGCACAUCACAUAAAGAAUUCGGAAUUGUGGAAACACUACCACCCAAAUCACAUAAAGAAAAACACUCAUAAUUUUGAUCUUUACUUUGAUGGUACGUUCCCAUUCAUCAUGUAAUUUUCUAGGAAUUGAAAUCUCUAAUUCCAACUUUUCUUCAAAAGCUUUCAUCAUAGCAUCUACGGUAUGUUUAGUAAAAGUUCUGUUUUAUUUAUAAGCAUGGGGUGAAUUUAUCAUGGAUUCAAAAAAAGAAAUAGAGUCAAUCAAAUAGCAACUAUCAUAAUUAAAGUCUUUGUAAUCAAAAGAGUGGGCUGUCGGGGAAGCUGAUCCACGAACACCUAUGGGACCGGCGGACCGAGCCCCUUUCGGUUCGGUGGGGGGCGGAGAUCGCAUGAAGAGCGGAUCGAGGCGAAGCACACGAGCAAUUUACCCAGCUUCGGAUCUCUCCAGAGAGAUAACACUCCUACUGCUGCAUAUCUAGGUGUAUUGAGUUCUUGCUCAGGAGCGCUGAGUGCUACAGUACACACUAGCUGCUAACGAGACCGAGCAUGAGUGUUUUUCUGCCUUCCCACCCCCCCUCUACGUUGCGCAUGGGCCUCCUUUUAUAUGCUAAAGGGGUCUCCGACAGGUGGCAACGUAGACAAGGGUAAAAAUGGAAAAGGAAUUGCGGUUGGUACAACUACCUGUACAGUGUAUCAUACCUAACCCUGACGGCAGGGGACAAAGGCAUUAAAUGCCCGUCUAUGUCGCCCAAAUAGUGCAAAAAGGGACCGUCAAGGACGCCACCGCUUGCCACGAUGGCAAUCUUGUCAGCGUCGCUUGCCACCGCGCACCGCUGGUCGCACAGCCUCUUGCCACGCGCGCCUGGAAAGGUCCCAGGGCGACACGUUGGUGGAUGUUCUGGAGCGCGGGUAACGAGUGGUAGUUUGCCGCGGCAAGCGCCUUGCCGCGGUCGUUGUCUUGUCGUGUCCGGAAGCUUGUCGCUCACCGGGCCUUGCCGGGACGCGUGGCGUGUCGCGGCAAGUUCCUUGAGAUGCCUUGGUUGGCCUUCCCGGCAAGCUCCUCUUGCCGGGGCCUUGUCUCCUUGGCUUGAAUACUUUGUUCUUGAAUGGAUCCAAAGGAACCACGGAGGACCUUGGCGGUCACCCGGCAAGCCUUGCCGCAGGGUGCUGCAACUGUCUGUGCACAAGUUCGGGAUACUAGGGUACCCCUACUCUAGUACACCGACAGGAGCCCCCGGGCCUGGGCCACACACGGUGCCGAGCGCUGUUGGGCCAGGCCCAAAACAGGGCACGGGCACACGCGGCCUGGGUUACGCCGUAUCUCACUCUGUAUCCACCGCGCCCUCCCGAACGGUACGCGUUGAAUGCGGCGUCGUGGGAGAGAUCGUGGGUGGUUUCUUUAUUCGGAAAGACGGAACGUCUGCCCCCUCCCUCUUUAUAAGCAGGGGAAACAGGGGCAGUUCGCCCAUCUCGCCGGUUGCUACUCCAAUCUCACAAACUUCGCCGCUCCCCCCCCCCUUCUUCCCAAAGCUGAAAGAGAGCAGCGCUCCACCCCCCAUCGCCACCGGCACCACCAACACCAUCGAUCUCUCUCACCACCUCCGCCAUGGCUCCGAAAGCCGGGAAGGUUGUGAAGUCGGCCGAGGCGCAGCGGCUCGUGGCGCUGCGAAAGGAGCGGGCAAUCUUCCCCCCUCAGCUCGCCGCGAAGGAGCUGAGGGAGUAUUACUACCUCUUCUGGUCGACGGAGACGCGAGCGCAUCCGCGCACGAAGGUACUCUCAGUUGCCGCUUCGGAACUGGCUCCGAAUGGAUAUCCCUUCUUCGCAUUGUUCUUCUACUGCGGGCUCUGCCCGCCUUUCUCUGAGUUUUUCUGUGACAUUAUGAACACCUACGGGUUCCGCCUCCUUGACUUCACUCCCAACGCCGUUCUGACCAUGGCAAUUUUCACACAUCUCUGCGAAAACUUUGUCGGAGUCCAUCCAAAUGUAGCUCUUUUUCGCCACUUCUUUAUGCCCCGAGUUGAGAGAGGGGAGCCUUUAUCCGGCGGAAUCGCCUGGAUCUCGAGAGUUGGCAAGAAGGAAGCUUAUCUGGAGGGAGAGCUCCGCAACAAGUGGGAGGAAUGGAGAGCAGAAUGGUGCUGGAUUGUCGAGGAGAAACCGCAACCAUUUACCGCCCAGCGCCAAGCCCCAAUAGCGCGCGGCAACGAUUGGAGCAACGUGGCCCCGGAAGACGAUAGGCUGAAGAUUGCCGUCACCCGGAUCCUACGCCUCAGGCUUGCCGGGCUCACCGUAGGCGCCAUUGGCGCAGAUUUUCUUCGCCGCUGCAUCGCCCCCCCUGCAGGAGAGGAGGAGACCCGCCUGGGAGUUCCAGAAUGCGGCGCAUAUCAUGAGGCUGCGCCCGGGCCUCAACUUCAACUUCAUUGUCCUGGAACUGGACGCGAUGCUCCUGGAACUGUUCAAGCGCGAUCCUCAACAUCCCAAAGCGUUUAUGUUGCCGAGGGGCGUUGUUCCGCUGUGCAACAACUCCUCGCUCGACCGCAUCCGUGCAAUGAUGCCGCUGUGCGAUUCGCAUGGAAUUGUCCCAACUUGGCAAGAGCCUGCAGACGACGUCGUGCAGGAGUUCUUUGACGGCUUGGUAGAAGUGCCGGUCCGCCCCGAUGAACAGAAGAGCCUUACUCGUGACACCACCGAUGCGGAGAUGCAGCGCAUCGCCACUAGGCUGGAAGAGGCGGCGGCAGCCGCUGCCGCGGGCGAGUUUGGAUUCACCGUGGAGGAGGCAGAGGCAGGAGAGGCGGCAAGCCUUGCCGAGCGAGAGGAGCUUGCCGGUGAGGGAAAGCUUGUCGGGCCUGAAGCUGAGUUGAGCGAGCCCGCCGAGGGCGCGAGCGACUCGUUGAAGAUCGACUCCUCCUCUUUCUCACCUUCAGACAGCUCGCCGCAAGCGGAGCCCCCAGCUCCACCAAGAAGGCGUCUCCGCAAGGCCGUGGACGUAGCGGGGCGGCAGACGGGUCAACAGCUGCCGCGCCGCGCGAUGCGCUCCACCGUGGCAAGCACUGUUGCCGCGGGAGCACCUCACGCCGCUGCGGCAACUAGAGCGGGGCCCUCCCAGACCACCGCUUCUGCUCCCGCCAAGUGGCUAACGGAACCUACUCCUCUGCCUUGUCGCGCUGAAGGUGGGCCGGACUUCGACCUCUCCGCGCUCAGCUCCAACGAGGAAGAGGAAGAGUAAGGUUCUUUCCUGUACUUGUAGUUCUUCAAUUCUUGCUGUUUUGUCUUGUAUCGGAUUUGCCUUACUCCGAACCAAUUCCUUCUCAGGACUCUGGCCCAGAGAGCGGCGAAGAGAGCCAAGGUCCCGGUGAUUGUCAUCGAGGACGAACCCACCACGACAGCAGGGGGUGUGUCCGAGACCACCUUGCCGGACCUGGCAACUAUUCCCCAAAGUAGCCCCCAGCGCAGCCCCCAAUGUAAGUAUAUGGUUUACUUCCUGCUGUUAGGCGCGCAUGGGUGCUCUUUCUUUGCUGACAUCUGACUAUUGGUUUGCGUAGGAGCAGAGCAGUCUCACCAGGAGUGCCCGGAAGCCGCUCCCGACAUGCCCUCUGCUUCGACUACACCGGCAAGGGAGGAUUCCCCAACAAGGGAGCGUUCUCCAACAAGGGAGAAUUUUCCGGUAAGGGAGGAGUCUCCGGCAAGGGACAGUUCUCCGGCAAGGGACAGCACCAGCGACCCCUCGGUGGCGGAGACCACGACUGUAGAUCCUAGUACAGGUAAUCCUCUUAUUUGAAAACUUCCCUUGGGUUCUUCUUCUUCUGAUUUUCUUUUUAAAUAUUUGCUUGACUUUUCUCCCUUUUUCGGUAGUCAGAUCCAUCUGCCACGGAGCCGAUGGAAACCGAGGUCGCCGGCGAGGAGAACGCCCGCGGCAGUACCGACGACGCCGCUGUCACCGAAGAAGAGGCCGGCGCUGAUGAUCCCGCCGGCGAAGAGGCCGCCAAAGCUGCUGCCGCAGAAGCUGGCGAGGGUUCUGGCGAUCGUACUGACGGCCCCGAGGCCGCAGGAGCGUCAGGCGCUACGCCGACCGCCGAUCCCUCCGCCGCUGCUGCAGCGUCAGGCUCCGAAGAGCCCCAGCCCGGCGCCUAUUUGAAGGACGGCGAUGGCGUCUUCAUCAAGCUCCCCUGGGCAUCGAGCUCCAGGGCGCCGAUCGAAGGAGAAAUCUUUGAUGAAGAAUUGCUCGCCUCCGCUGGCCUGACGCUGGUCGACGCGCCGAGCAGCAGCAGCGGCGAGCCUGAGAAGGAGCAGCUGCUGCGGAGGCUGUUGUCGCUCUACCGCGCCCGACAGGCCAAGCUGGUAUCCCGAGAAGCGCUUGUCGCGAAGGCGGGAGUGGACAUCAAGAAGCACGCGGAGGAGCUCCGGGGCCUCAACCAGGAAGCUCUUCGGUCCCUGGCAAAGGAGCGGGAGCAACUCGCUGAGGAGCGGAAAGCCUUCCUCCUCGAGAAGGCUGAAGUUGAAGAGCAACAGCGGCUUGCUGCCGAGAAGCUAUCUGCGCAGGAAGGCGAGUUGGCGCAGCAGAAGGCUAACCUUGACAGCCACGAGGAGGAGCUUGCUGCGCACGAGCAAACAUUCGGCGGGGCUCUCAAGGAAGCAGAGGAUGCUGCCGCAGUUGCCGAGGCCACCAAGAAGGAGCUGGAGACGAAAGUGGCGCAGCUGGAGGCCGAUCUCAAGGUGAGCAGCGAGGAGCUUGCUGCGCUUAAGCAUGAGCGCGAGAAGGACGCCUACACCCAUGGCGAGCUGCAGGGUCGUCUCGCCGAGAGGAGCAAGGAGCUUAGUGCCGCCAAGGACUCCAAUGCAGAUCUUGCGUUGAAGCUGACUACUUUGACCAAGACGUUGGACGGCGCCAGGGAGCAGGAGGUGGCCUUCAAGGAGAAGAUCAAGGCCGACGAGGCGCUGCUGGCGAGUGCUGCUGCCGCCCAGGACGCUUUUAGGGAGAAUGUGGAGCACCGGACCGAGGGUCUCGUGGAUGUUACCGCAGCCAUCGACAGGGAGCUGGCGCAGCUGGGGAUGGAGGAUCUCGGGUAUUCCUUCGAUGAGCACCUCCAACCCAGCACCAAGCUCAGCUUGUUCUUCAAAGGCAUGGCGACGGCCCUCCAGCAACUCCGGGAGAAGAUCCCAAAGCAGCUGGCCGACGAGUCGCGCCAGAUCUGCGCGGGAGCUCUUCAAAAGGUGCUGGUGAAGGUGGCCUUCCGCAACCCAGGCCUCAACCUCACCAACGUCCUCAGGACCUUGCCGUCGGAUGCUGAUCUGGAAGCGCUCAAGGCCCUUGUCGCACCCAUCGUGGACAAGGUGAGCGGGAUCAAGAGGGUUGAGGGCGAUCGCGUAGAUUAGGCUGCCCGUUUUCUCUUUUUCUUGUCGCUACAGGUCAUGUUAUGAGAAUAAUCUGUUAGAGCUGCGACAAGCUAUCUUGUAAUAUGACUCUAUUUUGGGUAGCGAUUGCUAUGUUAUUUCAUUUACUUGAUUCCUUCCUUUGUAUGUUUUUGCCCUACGCUUUUAGGGAACUUGUCGGCGCAGGCACCUUAGCCGCGAGCGCUGAGUGCGGGACGUCAGCAGCCUACUGGCGGUGCCGCUUCCGACAAGAAACCUUGUCGCAACUAGUCGCAGCUCACUUAAGUUGUUCAGCGGACUCGAAACAAAGUAAGGGCGCAACUAGCUACGAGUUGGUUCCUCCGCGCACAGGUUUUCCAUACAAAGCACGGUCGUUCGAGGAAGAUAACUUAAAAAAUUUAAAACCGAUUGCUCAAACUUUAGCAACUUAGCUUUUCUGUUGUUUGCUUCCCGGUAAGGCGAAACUUCCUCGAACGUCGCUUGGUCCACACCAUUAUCUUCUCCUUUCCCCCCGGCAAACUUGUGGGCGAGGGAACCUUCCUUUCUUUGAGAAAGAGAAAGAAGAGAAAAUAAAGAUAUGGAGCCUUACGGCUCGUUAUUUCUUACCGGGGGUAGGCGCUGCACAAAGUGUUAGAUAACGCAUGCAAAUAAAAGAAAGUAGAAAGCAUGAAAUUGACAAGAUGUGCGGAGCACAUGAGCUUUACUUAUGCACGGGGUCUGCGCCUGGCUUCAUACAAAGGAUUACAUGCAACAUCGGCAAGACUUGUACAAAAGGUGGUUGCCGGAACCGGUUCCGGCAACUGCGCCCUACAUGUAAAACUUACGAAGAUGCUCAAUGUUCCAGGAGUUGCUCACCGGAAUGCCAUCUUCGGUCUCAAGGCGGACAGCGCCAGGCCUAGUGACUCGUUUCACCCGGUAAGGGCCUUCCCACUUCGGUGUCAACUUGUUGGAAUUCUUGGCGGACUGAAUGCGCCGAAGAACAAGGUCGCCUUCCUCGAGACUUCUGGCAUUAACUUUGCGGCUAUGGUAGCGGCGCAAAGCUUGCUGGUAUCGAGCAGCUCGUACAACGGCCUGAAGACGGUCCUCCUCAAGGAGCAGCGCGUCAUCUUGUUGCAACUGCUCUUGCUCAAGCUCAUCAUAAGCGAGCACUCGAGGUGACCCGUAUACGAGUUCCGUGGGGAGAACUGCCUCUGCUCCAUAGACUAGAGCGAAAGGUGUCUGGCCAGUGGCUCGAUUUGGCGUCGUCCUGAUCGACCAAAGAACCACCGGCAGCUCCUCAAUCCAGUUCUUUCCGCACUUGCGCAGCCUGUCGAAAGUCCUGUCUUGAGCCCGCACAGCACUUCAGCAUUCGCCCUCUCCGCUUGACCUUUACUUCUCGGAUGAGCAACAGAAGCGAAGCAGACCUUGGCGCCAAGAUCUUGGACGUACUGCAUGAAGGUGCGGCUUGUGAAUUGCGUGCCAUUGUCGGUGAUGAUCCUGUUAGGGAUCCCGAAGCGUCAAACAAUCGACCUGGAGAACUUGACUGCUGACUGUGCUGUCACCUUCCUCACUGCUUCCACUUCCGGCGACUUUGUGAACUUGUCGAUUGCAACGUACAAGUACUCAAAGCCCCCGACAUCUCAAGGAAAGGGGCCGAGGAUGUCGAGCCCCCAGACCAAAAAUGGCCUGGAUAAAGGGAUCAUCUGGAGAGCUUGAGCUGGCUGGUGUAUCUGCUUGGAACGGAACUGGCACGCUUCACACUUGGUUACUUGUGCAGUUGCAUCCUGGAGGGCUGUCGGCCAAAAGAAACCUUGCCGGAACGCUUUGCCGGCAAGUGCUCUUGCGCCAAUGUGGUGACCACAUAUGCCUCCGUGUAUCUCUACCAACAGCUUUUGUCCGUCUUCCCGGUGAAUACACUUCAAUUUCACGCUGUUGAGUCUUCUUCUGUACAGUGUGUUGUCGACAAACUGGUACAUACUUGACUACCGGGCUACUCUUUCCGCUUCUUCUCGCUCUUCGGGAAAUUCUCCUGUCUGAAGGAAAUGGACAAUCUGCUGUGCCCAUGCUGGAGCUUGCGGCUCGACAACAAGGACUAAAGGCACAUCUGCUGCUGCGGGAACAUCCGCUUCUACGGCGAGAACCUGCGGCUCAGCCGGAGCUUGACGUUCCCCGGCAAGCUUGCCGGAGCAAAACUUGUCGGGAGCGUCUGCUUCAACGGAACAAACCCUAGGGCUUGCCAGAGCAGACUGCUCCUCAGCACCCUUGGUGUUGAUCUUGAGGACCUUCUUGGCGGCGGCUUUGGGGAGCUCUGCCGGAAAAUAGUCACCAGAAAUCAACUUCCUCUUCUUGCUCUGUCCAGUUGAUGGCGUUACAGACGGUUGAGUCAGUUUGAGCACAAAGAUCCCUGGUUCCACAGGUAACUUAAGUGCGGCGCACUUCGACAGGCCAUCGGCAAUGUCGUUCUGACCUCUUGGAACAUGUUCCAUCUGUAGGUCGUCAAAGUGCUCUUCUAGUUUUCUCACUUCAUCAACGUAAGCUUCCAUCAACGGACUCUGAUAAUUCUUGUUCACUUGGCAGAUGACAAGCUGUGAGUCACCCCUGACAAUGAGCUUCUUGAUCCCAAGGUCUGCUGCGAUCCUGAGGCGGGCAAGCAAACCUUCAUACUCUGCGGUAUUGUUCGUUGCCUGCUCCUUGGGAAAGUGCAUCUGGAUUACGUACUUGAGGUGCUCUCCGGUGGGUGCAACAAGUAGCACGCCUGCACCGGCACCUUGCAGCGAGAAGGCACCAUCAAAGUACAUCAGCCACUCUUUGCUUGCUUCCUUGACGGGGAUGCUUGUUUCUGGAAUUUCUUCAUCUUGUGUUGGCGUCCAUUCUGCUAUGAACUCCGCCAAUGCUCUGCUUUGGAUAGUUGAAGUGCUCUCAAACUUGAGGCCAAAGCUUGACAGUUCCAGCGCCCACUCGACAAUCCUGCCUGUUGCUUCUGGAUUUUGCAGUAUCCUCUUCAGCGGAAAACGAGUGACGACCGUGAUCUCAUGUGCUUGGAAGUAAUGGCGCAGCUUUCUCGAGGCCAUGAGAAGGCCGAAAAGCAAUUUAUGCACACCAGAGUACCUUGACCUAGCCCCCUGCAGAAGGGAACUGACAAAGUAAACUGGGCGCUGCACCAUUCUUUUCUGCAUCUUCUCACGCGCCUGUGCAGAUCCAUCUUUGUCGGGACCAGAGCUUGCCGGUGAAGUCCCCUGCUUGUCGCUGGAUGCAUCUGCCAUGGUUGCUGGCUCAUCAUCCGCCUCCCUCUCCGCUACUAACGCAGCACUAACCACUUGAUUGGUUGCCGCUAUAUAUACCAGCAACUUCUCUUCUAACUUAGGUGCGACAAGUGUUGGAGUGGAGGACAGGUAUCUCUUUAAGUCCUGCAGUGCAGCCUCCGCUUCUGGAGUCCAUUUCAUUGGAACUGCCUUUUUCAAUAUUUUGAAAAAUGGCAGGGCGCGCUCAGCAGACCUAGAGAUAAACCUGCUGAGAGCAGCUACGCAACCGGCAAGUCUUUGUACAUCCUUGACGCGCUUUGGUGCUUCAAUCUGCUCAAUGGCCUUGAUCUUGUCGGGAUUGGCUUCAAUUCCCCGCUGAGACACGAAGAACCCGAGAAGCUUGCUGGAGGGGACUCCAAACACACACUUCUCGGGGUUAAGCUUGAGGUUGAUCUUGCACAGAUUUGCAAAGGUUUCGUCUAAACCUUGAAUCAGAGUCGCCUUGUCCUUGCUCUUGACCACUAUGUCAUCCAUGUAGGCUUCCACAUUUCUGUGUAUUUGCGGCUCAAAAGCGUCAUGGACUACCCUUGCAAAUGUUGAACCAGCAUUCUUUAAACCGAAAGGCAUCCAUACGAAACAGUAUGUGCCACAUGGAGUGAUGAAUGCGGUCUUCUCCUCAUCCUCUUCUGCCAUGAAGAUCUGAUGGUAUCCUGAGUAUGCAUCAAGAAAUGAAAGCAAGUCACAUCCGGCCGUGGAGUCAACAAUCUGGUCGAUGCGCGGCAAGGGAAAUGGGUCUUUGGGACAAGCUUUAUUGACAUCAGUAAAGUCGAUACAAAGCCUCCAUUUCCCGUUUGCCUUGCGUACGACUACAGGGUUUUCCAACCACGUAGGAUGGAGCACUCCUCUGACAAGGCCUGCUGCUUCCAAUUUCUUGAUUUCUUCUGCGAUGAAUUCUUGGCGCUCCACUGCCUGCUUCCUGACUUUCUGCUUGACGGACCGCGCAUGAGGACAGACGGCAAGAUGGUGCUCGAUUACUUUCCUGGGAACACCGGGGAUGUCAGACGGUUGCCACGCAAAUACGUCGACGUUCACCCGCAGGAAAGCAACGAGCGCGCUUUCCUAUUUAGGGUCGAGAGUGGCACUGAUGGUGAAGGUACCACCAGUGCCAUCCUCCUUGGCAGACACCUUCUUGGUCUCUGGUGGAGCUGCCAUUGUCUUCUUACACUUGCCGGUGGAGCUCGAUGGUGCGUCCUCGAUGGUAGCGCAGCACUCCGAAGAGGUGCGCUUGCCGGAGUGGGCAUCAGAACUCUUGCCGGACUUGGUCUUCUUCUUCGCCCCGGGAGCUUCAACGGCAAGUGACUUGCGAUCUGUUGCGGCUGCUGCUUCCCAGUAGAUCUUGUCGGCGCAGAUAAGAACAUCCUUCUUGUCGCCAGGGACAGAGAUGACACUUAUCGGGCCUGGCAUCUUCAGCAUGUUGUAUGCAUAGUGAGAGGCUGCCAUGAAUUUGGCGAGUGUUGGACGGCCGAGUAUCCCAUUGUAAGGCAAUGGAAAGUUAGCAACGUCAAAAGUGACCCCCUCAGUCCUGAAGUUCAACUCGCUGCCAAAUGUCACCGGCAACGUGAUCCUUCCCUUCGGCUUGCUCCUUCCCGGAUUGAUUCCUGGGAAUGUGCCGGUCUCUUCGAGCUCGCCAUCAGGGAUCUGGAGUUUCUGGAGUACCGCGGAGGAGAUCAGGUUCAAGCCGGCCCCGCCGUCAACUAGCAUCUUAGUGACCUUGAGGUUGCGGAUAGUUGGUGAAACCAACAUCGGCAAGCAUCCGACCGCAGUUAUGCGAUCAGGGUGGUCCUCAAUAUCAAAGAUGAUAGGCAUGCUGGACCAUUUCAGAGGCUUGCGUGACUCGACGGGUGGUUCUGCCACAUUGACUUCCCGCACCCACUGCUUGAGCUGGCGGUGUGAAGUAUGCAGAGAAGCACCACCGUCAACGCACAGGACCUCUGUGGCUUUCUGGAACUCCUGCUCAUCGGUCUCGUCAUCAUCCAUAUCUUCAUCGUCGUCAUCAUCUUCAUCCUUGUCGCGGCCGCGGGGAGGUCUGUCUCCUUGCCGCUACUUGGCCUUGCCGCGGCGUCCUCCUCGGCCGGGGCAUUUCUUGCCGGCUCCUCCAGCACCUUCCUAAGCCUUCUCCUUGUCGUGUUGCUCAUAUUCAGCCUUUUGCUGCUCGACAAGCUGCUCGACCUUCUUGCAGCUCUGGAGGUCAUGGCCCUUGGUGCGGUGGAUCUUGCAGUACUGCUUGUUGGUGCCGUCCUGCUUGUCGGCGACCGCCACAGCCUGGUAGUUGGUGCCUGCGACAAUCUCCUCGCCGGAGCUACCAGCUUUGGCUUUCUUGGCGCCACCUCCGUUGCCAGACUGCUCAACGACUAGCACAUCUUUGCCUUUCUUCUUCCUGUUGUUCCGCCGCCGGUUUUUCUUUGCCGGGGCAGCUUCCUCACUAUCAGAUCCUCCUGCUUCUGUAUUCUCUCCGGGGAGUUUCUUCCCUUCCUCAGCACGUGCACACUUGUCGGCCAGGGCAUAUAGCUCACUGACGUCUCUGAUCUUGCACAUCGCCAUCUCCUACCGCAUCCUGUGGUUUCGCACGUUCUGAUGGAACGCUCUGAUUACCGCGGCAGGGUGGACAUCUGGGAUGUUGUGCUGUACGCGGCUGAAUCUCUGAAUGUAUUUGCGCAGGGGCUCUCCUUCCUUCUGGGCGAGCAGAUGAAGGUCACUCUUUUGGCCAUGAGGCUUGUGGCUGCCUGUAAAGGCGCCGACAAACUGAUGGCAUAGGUCUGCCCAGGAGGAUAUGGAGUUGUCCGGCAAGUGCAUGAGCCAGGAUCUGACAUUUGGCUUGAGCACCAGCGGGAAGUAGUUGGCCAGGAUCUUGUCGUCCCGCCCCCCGGCAGCUUGCACCGCGAUGGUGUAGAUGCUGAGGAACUCCGACGGAUGCGACUUGUCGUCGUACUUCUCUGGUACGUCUGGCUUGAAAUUCUUCGUGCUGGGCCACUGGACUUGCCGCAACUCACGAGUGAACGCAGCGCAACCUACCGCGUACGGCAAGUCGCCUGGUUCCCCUGGUGCAUGCGUGUCGACAGAGGGCCCAGCGCGCUGGUCCGAUUGACGCCGCGCUUCUCUUCGGUGCUCGAUGCGAGUACGAGCGUCUUCUUGCUGUCAUUCGUGAAGAACUUGGCGCUGAUCGCGACGAGCUCGUGGAUCUGAUGAUGCGGUGGAGUCGCUAUCGAGGUGGAUCCGGCGAGUCGGCGAUCUUGGCCUUUGGGGUGGAGAGUGCAUGGUGGUUGCACCCCCACCGGUUUCGUCGCCAUCGGCUCGUGCCUGGCAGUCCUGCCGCGGCAGCGAUGUACUCGGCUGCCGCGGAGUGUCGCCGUUGGCGAAGCCGAUGAGACUCUGAAUGGUGGCCCUCCAUUGAUCGAUCUUGUCUGCCGUUGGAGGGUAAUCCAGGAGCAGUUGAGCUCGCGCCAAAGCUUCUGCUGGAGUGGUGGGCGGUAGUGGCAAACGGCGCGAGGAGCGGGAUAUGCUCGGACUUCUAACUAUGUUAGAAGGAGCAGUAUCCCGUCCAGGCGACCGUGUCUCGCUCGUGCCAGCAUGUUGGCGUGCAUGCUGGUCUUGAGCACCCCGAGAUCCACCAGCUCAAUCUUGGUCCAACAAACGUAAGGCACUGCGAAUACCAUGACGUUGUCGGUCCUGCGCCUCCUGAGAUGGGCGCGGUGCAUGUACGGACGCCGAGGUCUGCGCAGCCUUGUCCUUGGACAUGGCAGCACCGUGGGCUUCCUCGUCGAUGCCCGUUCUUCCGUCGCUGUCUACCCCACCACCCGUUUGCUCCGGUGGUGGUGGGAUCGACGUGGACGGAACAGCUGCCGCCGAAGCCUUCUUCUUCGGUGGCAUGUCAUUGAAGAAGAUGAAGAUCUAGCUCGUGUGAAUGCCGGAUCAGGUUCACACAACCUCGACACCCCCUACCUGGCGCGCCAAAUAUGUCGGGGAAGCUGAUCCAUGAACACCUAUGGGACCGGCGGACCGAGCCCCUUUCGGUUCGGCGGGGGGCGGAGAUUGCAGGAAGAGCGGAUCGAGGCGAAGCACACUCCUACUGCUGCAUGUCUGGGUGUAUUGAGUUCUUGCUCGGGAGCGCUGAGUGCUACAGUACAUACUAGCUACUAACGAGACCGAGCGUGAGUGUUUUUCUGCCUUCCCACCCCCCUCUACGUUGCGCAUGGGCCUCCUUUUAUAUGCUAAAGGGGUCUCCGACAGGUGGCAACGUAGACAAGGGUAAAAAUGGAAAAGGAAUUGCGAUUGGUACAACUACCUAUAUAGUGUAUCAUACCUAACCCUGACGGCAGGGGACAAAGGCAUUAAAUGUCCAUCUACGUCGCCCAAAUAGUGCAAAAAGGGACCGUCAGGGACGCCACCGCUUGCCACGAUGGCAAUCUUGUCAGCGUCGCUUGCCACCGCGCACCGCUGGCCGCACAGCCUCUUGCCACGCACGCCUGGAAAGGUCCCAAGGCGACACGUUGGUGGAUGUGCUGGAGCGCGGGUAACGAGUGGUAGUUUGUCGCGGCAAGCGCCUUGCCGCGGUUGUUGUCUUGUCGCGUCCGGAAGCUUGUCGCUCACCGGGCCUUGCUGGGAUGCGUGGCGUGUGGCGGCAAGUUCCUUGAGAUGCCUUGGUUGGCCUUCCCGGCAAGCUCCUCUUGCCGGGGCCUUAUCUCCUUGGCUUGAAUACUUUGUUCUUGAAUGGCUCCAAAGGAACCACGGAGGACCUUGGCGGUCACCUGGCAAGCCUUGCCGCGGGGUGCUGCAACUGCCUGUGCACAAGUUUGGGAUACUAGGGUACCCCUACUCUAGUACACCGACAUGGGCACAUCACUAGUUAAAGUUUUGACCUCUCCAAACCCACUUUUAUCAAAAAAAAUCAUCAAGAUUUUCACCCUCCGAAUUAUUGUGACGCCUUCUAGCUAAAGUUGACUCUUCUCCAGUCCCUUUAUCAUCAAUUUUAAUAUUACUAAACAAGGAAUCAAUAUAAGAAACACUUAUUACUUUAAGAUCUUCAUCAUUUCUAUCAAAGCAGUCACUAGAAAAUGCUCUUUCCAAAAAAUAUCUUUUAGCUCAUCCAUAGAAACAUAUAAAGCUUUAAUUGAUUCCUCAACCUUGGGUAAAAAAAUCAUCUUUAGAUUUUCUACAUCAUGAGAAAUUCUAUCAAUGCUUCUAGACAUAUCAUCAAUCUUAUUCACUUUCCUUCUAUCGUAUUAAUGAAAACCUUUUGAGCAUUGGUAAAUUUUUUAAUAUUACUCUCAAAAUCAGAGGUGUUACUAUUAUUAUUAUAAGAAGGAUUACCAUAGGAACCACCAUCCUUCUUAGAAGAAUUUCUAGGAAAAGGCCUAGGAUUAAAAUUACCUCUAUAAGCAUUGUUAUUAAAAUUGUUUCGCGAGACAAAAUGCACAUCUAUGAGAUCACUAUUUUGCUCAAUCAAGGUAGACAAAGGCACGUCAUUAAGAUCAAUAGGAGCAUUUUUAUUAGCAACUAAUUUCGUAAGAGCAUCAACUUUUUCACUCAAAGUACUAAUUUCUCCAACCGAAUUGACUUUUUACUAGUAGGAGCUCUUUCGGCAUGCCAUUGCGAAUAAUUUGCAUAAUAUUGUCAAGCAAUUUAGUAGCUUCAACCAAAGUAAUUUCCAUAAAAGUACCACCCGCGGCGGAAUCUAAAAGAUUUCUAGAGACAAAAUUCAAUCUCGCAUAAAAUUUUGUAUGAUCAUCCAAAGAUUUGAACCAUGAGUAGGACAAUUUCUUAGCAUCAACUUCAUUCUUUCCCAAGAUUGUGCAACAUGCUCAUGCUCAGGUUGCUUAAAAUUCAUGAUCAGAGUUCUAAGGGAAAUAAUUUUCAUGGGUGGAAAAUACUUAGUAAUGAAAGCAUCUUUGCAUUUAUCCCAAGAAACGAUAAUAUAGUGAAGAUGAAAACCAAAUUUUUGCACGACCUCACAAAGAAAAUGGAAAUAAUUUCAACUUCACAAUAUCAUUGUCCACAUCUUUUUUCUUUUGCAUAUCACAUAAUUAUACGAAUAUGUUAAAAUGGGAUGCGGCAUCCUCAUUAGGAGUACCAGAAAACUGAUCUUUCAUAACAAGAUUCAACAAAGCGGCAUUAAUAUCGCAAGAUUCCGCACUAGUGGCGGGAGAAGCAAUCGAUGUGCUAAUAAAACCGUUAUAAUUGGUAUUGGAAAUUUCCCACAACUUAAUGUUUUCUUGAGUCAUCAUGACUACGCAAACAAGAUUGCACACAAAAAUAGAUCUCACGAGAAAAACGGCGAACGGAAAAGAGGGCGAAUAAAACAACAAAUUUUUGUGAAGUGGGGGAGAUGAAAAUGAGAGGAAAAUGGAAAAUAAUGUAAAUUGCAAGGAGAUGAGAUUUGUGAUUAGGAACCUGAUAGAUGUUGAUGACGUCUCCCCGGCAAUGGCGCCAGAAGUUCCCGUUGAUAAUCCUUUAUUUUCCCCAAGGAGCAAGGGAUGAUGCAAUACAGCAAAGGUAGGUAUUUCCAUCAAUUAUAAAACCAAGGUUAUCGAACCAGUAGGAGAACCAAGCAACACUAUGUAAACGGUACCUACACACAAAGAACAAAUAAUUGCAACCCGACGCAAAUAGGGGUUGUUAAUCCCUCCCAGGUAAAAGAUUGGUAAAGUGAUAGAUUGGUAGAUGCAAAUAAAGUAAAGGCAAAUAAAAUUCAUCGAGGUAUUUUUGGGUUUUUGAUAAUAUAGAUCUGAAAAUAAAAGAUGCAAAUAAAUAAAAAGGCAAAUAGCAAUAUAGAUCUGGAGAUAUAUGAUGAGAAAAUAGACCCAGGGGCCGUAGAUUUCACUAGUGGCUUCUCUCGAGAAAAUAGCAUACGAUGGGUAAACAAAUUACUAUUGGGAAAUUGAUUGAACUUCAAAUAAUUAUGACGAUAUCCUGCCUGCAUCUACUACUAUUACUCCACGCAUCCACCGCUAUCCAGCAUGCAUCUAGUGUAUUAAGUUCAUGGAGAAAUGGAGUAAUGCAAUAAGAUCGAUGACAUGAUGUAGACAAGAUCUAUUCAUGUAGGAAUAUACCCCAUCUUGUUAUCCUUAAUAACAACGAUCAAUAUGUGUCUUGCUUUCCCUUCUGUCACUGGCAAAGAACACUGCAUGAUCGAAUCCAUCACAAAUCACCUCUUCCCAUGGCAAAAAAAAUCGAUCUAGUCGGCCUAACUAAACACAAGAUUCGAAGAAGAAAUACAAGGCUAUAAGUAAUCAUGCAUAUAAGAGAUCAAAGAACUCAAAUAACUUUCAUGGAUAAAAAGAUCUGAUCAUAAACUCAAAGUUCAUCGGAUCCCAACAAACACACCGCAAAAAGAGUUACAUCAAAUAGAUCUCCAAGAGACCAUUGUAUUGAGAAUCAAAAGAGAGAGAGAGGAAGCCAUCUAGCUACUAACUACGGACCCGUAGGUCUAUAAUGAACUACUCACGCAUCAUCGAAGAGGCACCAAUGAGGAUGAUGAACCCCUCUGUGAUGGUGUCUAGAUUUGAUCUGGUGUUUCUGAAACUUGCAGUGGCUGGAAUUGUGUUUCGUCGACUCGCCUAGGGGUUUUGGAUUUUUAGGGUAUUUAUAGAGGAAAGAGGCGAUGCGGGAGGCGAUCGAGGUGGGCACAACCCACCAGGGCGUGCUUGGGCCCCCAGGGGCACCCAAGUGGGUUGUGCUCCCCUCGGAGCCCUCCUCUGGUAUUUCUUUGGCCCAACAGGUCUCUUCUGGUCCAGAAAAAUUCUCCAAAAAAUUUCUCUGCAUUUGGACUCCAUUUGGUACUGAUAUUCUGCGAAGAAAAAAACAAGCAAAAUAACAACAACUGGCACUUGGCACUAUGUCAAUAGGUUAGUCCCAAAAAAUGAUAUAAAGUUGCUAUAAAAUGAUUGUAAAACAUCCAAGAAUGAUAAUAUAACAACAUGGAACAAUAAAAAAUUAUAGAUACAUUGGAGACGUAUCACUAAGUUACUACUGUUGUUGCUACUAUCUCAACUAUUACCAAAUCAUUGGUAUCACUGUUACCGUUACUAUUAUUGUUACCGCUGCUAUCAAAAACAUCAUAUUAUUGUGCUACUGAUUAUCUUGCUGCAGAUAUUUAAUCUCUGGGUGUGGUUGAAUUGACAACUCAACUGUUAAUACUUGCAAAAAUUCUUUGGCUCCCCUUGUGUCGAAUCUAUAAAUUUGGGUUGAAUAUUCUACCCUCGAAAAUUGUUGUGAUCCCCUAUACUUGUGUGUUAUCAAAGAAAUACUCUCAUGCUUCACUUAGAUUAAUUUGAGAGUUGGUAUAUUUUGAAGAAAUAUUCUCUCAUGCUUCACUUAUAUAAUUUUGAGAGAAAUAAAGAAAAAUUAUGCUCAUGUUCUUCACUUAAAUUUGUUUGAGAGCUUGUUACAAGCAAUGGUAAUAUAUGAAAAUUAGUCCCAAAGUGAUAGAUAAGAGGGAUGUAAUAAAAACUUUCAUGAAAGAUCAUUGGACAAAAUAAACUUGAUUCUUUGUAAUAGUUUUGAGAUAUGAUGAUAGUAAUAUGUGAGUCAUGUUGGUGAGUGUCGAUGUCAAAACCGGCGGAUCUCGGGUAGGGGGUCCUGAACUGUGCGUCUAGGCGGAUGGUAACAUGAGACAAGGGACACGAUGUUUUUAACUAGGUUCGGGCCCUCUCGAUGGAGGUAAAACCCUACUCCUGCUUGAUUAAUAUUGAUGAUAUGGGUAGUACAAGAGUAGAUCUACCACGAGAUCGGAGUGGCUAAACCCUAGAAGCUAGCCUAUGGUAUGAUUGUUGUUCGUCCUACAUACUAAAACUCUCCAGUUUAUAUAGACACCGGAGAGGGCUAGGGUUACACAGAGUCGGUUACAAUGGGAGGAGAUCUUCAUAUCAUAUCACCAAGCUUGCCUUCCACGCCAAGGAAAGUCCCAUCCAGACACGGGACGGAGUCUUCAAUCUUGUAUCUUCAUAGUCCGGGAGUCCGGCCAAAGGUCUUAGUCCGGCCAUCCGGACACCCCCUAAUCCAGGACUCCCUCAGUAGCCCCUGAACCAGGCUUCAAUGACGACGAGUCCGGCGCAUAUUUAAGAAAAUCACUGCUAAGCAUGUCAUUUUCUAGAAAGGCGCUUGACUGGAAUGUAUAUGUAUAUAGUUAAUAAAAUCAUAGUGACGGAUUUUUCAGUUCCUCUAUUUAGAUUAGAGGCGUCUGCAUGCAUAUUAACCAAGUGAUCAGUCUUUCCAGCUCAAAAGAGAAAGUGACCGAUGUUUUGGCAUAUUUUCCUAUUAGGAAUAAAAUGGAUAUGCCCAUGUGCAUAUGCACACAGAUUUCAGGUUACAGUGUAAUUAGGAAACAGAUGAUACCUCAUUGUGUAGUCUUGGUCUGAGAAGAGUGGAUAUACUUGGUGAAUAUAUAUGUUCCACCCGACCAUUAAUUUCAGAGAAAAGGACAUGCACUUCAGUAGCAAAAAUUUGAUUGUUAUGUACUAUCUGUAAUGCUAAGCAUUUAUUUGCUAAUAUCUCCUCAUCUGAAUUUGUAUUUUGGUCAUUUGNNNNNNNNNNNNNNNNNNNNNNNNNNNNNNNNNNNNNNNNNNNNNNNNNNNNNNNNNNNNNNNNNNNNNNNNNNNNNNNNNNNNNNNNNNNNNNNNNNNNNNNNNNNNNNNNNNNNNNNNNNNNNNNNNNNNNNNNNNNNNNNNNNNNNNNNNNNNNNNNNNNNNNNNNNNNNNNNNNNNNNNNNNNNNNNNNNNNNNNNNNNNNNNNNNNNNNNNNNNNNNNNNNNNNNNNNNNNNNNNNNNNNNNNNNNNNNNNNNNNNNNNNNNNNNNNNNNNNNNNNNNNNNNNNNNNNNNNNNNNNNNNNNNNNNNNNNNNNNNNNNNNNNNNNNNNNNNNNNNNNNNNNNNNNNNNNNNNNNNNNNNNNNNNNNNNNNNNNNNNNNNNNNNNNNNNNNNNNNNNNNNNNNNNNNNNNNNNNNNNNNNNNNNNNNNNNNNNNNNNNNNNNNNNNNNNNNNNNNNNNNNNNNNNNNNNNNNNNNNNNNNNNNNNNNNNNNNNNNNNNNNNNNNNNNNNNNNNNNNNNNNNNNNNNNNNNNNNNNNNNNNNNNNNNNNNNNNNNNNNNNNNNNNNNNNNNNNNNNNNNNNNNNNNNNNNNNNNNNNNNNNNNNNNNNNNNNNNNNNNNNNNNNNNNNNNNNNNNNNNNNNNNNNNNNNNNNNNNNNNNNNNNNNNNNNNNNNNNNNNNNNNNNNNNNNNNNNNNNNNNNNNNNNNNNNNNNNNNNNNNNNNNNNNNNNNNNNNNNNNNNNNNNNNNNNNNNNNNNNNNNNNNNNUGUGACUUUCCUACGUUAUUGGCCCCUAAUUUGUGAUUUUCCUGAACAUGACACCUUUUCUUCUCUGGAUCUGCAUUCCACCUGUAGUAAUUGUGAGAUUAUAUAUGUAUUCGUGUUCAUUCUUAAUUUAAACUAGACCUAGCUGUAUAUACUACAAAAUUUGUUAAACAUGCGCUGGGCAGGUUUCCAUGAUGAGUUCGUAGCCUUUAUGAAGUUCUUGCUGAUUGUUUUCUGUAAUCAUCGCUCAUUUCUCGUCUCCAUAGCACAAAAUUUGAUUCUUGCAUCUAACCUUACCGGCGUGUUUACUGAACUUUGUAUAUAUGAAUUUCACCUCGUAUUUUCUUCCUGGCUUGAUAAGAACUGAACAAUACAAUUUGCUUUCUCGUGUCCAGUAUUCCAGAUUGAGUAAUUCUAGAGAUAUGCGACCCGUAGACCGGUUUAUGAAAUUCUUUAGGUGUAUUUUUCUUUCAUGUACAUAGCUGGAAAUUGUUUGAUAUACAUUUUAUAAGGAUAAACAAGGCUUACUGUACGUAAGGCUUGAUACUACCCCAUUUCAAAUAACUAAGGGAAUCACUAUUUCUCAAAUGCAAGAUAUUGGUUUAUUUUAUUUCGUAUGCCAUGUUUUUUGUUUUAGUUCUUUGUUUUUCCAAUCCAUUUGCUUUCUUGAAAUCUUCGUGAUAACAGAGAUUUGAGAAGGAUCUGUCUCUAUAGCUGUAGAUGAUAACUACAUAAUUAUUUGUUCUUUCUAUGUGAAAUAUUUGAAAACCAAAUGCAAAUCGUUGCAAUAUUUAGCCUUCAGUACUUAUAAUGCACAAAUGUAAAAUUAUAUUUUGCUAUUAUGUUCUUCUAUUCUAGAAUCAUUUCCCUAAUCUGCCUAUUUUGAUCAUGAAAUUAAGUCAAUUUCUUCUACUAUCUUCAUGUGCUUGCGGAUAGGAUUCUGAAAGCUUAUAAACUUAUUUUCAAAGCUUGCCUAAUAAUUUUAUCAUAUAAGUUGAAAUUCAGUAAAACAUUCCCACUUGACAGUGAUCUAUUGUUAUUCCCUUAAAUGUUGAUCCAAGUGUCAUAAAUGGCACAAGAUGCAGUUUUGAUUAGAUUUUGAGUGUGAAAUUUAUACUGUCUUGCGGUGAUGCAUGAUGUUAUUUAUUUCAUUAGAGAAAGAUAAGUGUUAACCUAUUAAGUUAAUUUGGGUGAUGGAUUUAAUGCUUAUGUUAAUUAUUUGCAGUUUAUUUACGGGAGAAAAUAGUGGUAGUUUAUUUAUUGUCAUUGGUUAAGACUGCUGCUAUUAGAUCUAUAUGGUUGCGGUAUAUCUUCAAUUAUUUGCUAAAUUGAGGGAUUAAUGUUCCGCUAUUAGGUUAAUUAGGCUAGCAGCUUUUAGCACUUCUCAUCUAUUGGUUCAGCUAUUAUUUUCUGAGAAAAAAAUUUACCCUUGCUUUGUCCCUACAGGAUAAUGACUACCUGAUAGUGAUUCCUUAUGCUCACAUCUUUGGCCUCAUGCUGCAAGCUCUAAAGCUGCCCCCUGCAACUUACCAGCACAAAAUAUACCCAGGCGGAAAGAAUCGUGUGACAGUGACUUUCAUUUCUACUUUGGAAUUGCUAGAUGGUUCACUUGUCCCGAGUUCUAUACCAGGUGCAAUCUUAGAUAGCUAUGAAGAUGCAGAAGACAGUGCUGCUAUGGAGGCUAUUAGAUUCAUGGAGAAUGCAUAUGGCAAAGAAAUGAGGGGCUACCACUACACCCAUGUCAAGAGGCUAGAAAAUCAAGUGACGCACCUGGUGGUUGACUUCAUCCAAUGAGACAAUCAAGAAGCUGCGCAAAACAUGCUACUACGCUGUCAGGUACAUGAACUCAUAUUCUGCCCGGAUAGAAAACACAACAGCUGCUCGCCACCUGAAAGGUCAGGACAACACCAAAGGAGUUAUGAAAACAGCUCUUGCAAGCAUCGAAGGACUGACGCAAAGGCUACGCUACAUUGCUAUGAAGUUUGAGCAGCGCCUUGAAGCAACCAGAAACAGUUUCUGGUAAACUUUGCUGAAUGUAUCCUGGAUAGCGUGCUUCAUCGGUUACCGCAACAACCACCUUUUGUUUCAUAUUUAUCAGACCAGCAUCUUUCCCAUUUUGGACUACUCCCAACAAGAUAUGUAUAGACUUUAGUCCUCCCUUGCUGCCUCUAUGGUGAAAAGUAGUCUAUGAUGUAGUUUACGAUCUUUAGAUUUUAUUGUUGUCUGUAUAGUCAAGAGCGGUUUACCAUCGCUUAUUGUAUAUAUGUGAAGGUCUCCUCUUCUACUGUUGUUUCACAACACUAUGACCGAAGAAAACAACCUUUCCUUUUAUCCAUGCUUUCACACUAAUGUUUGCAUCAAACAUUCCCUGUGAUCAUAUCUGCAGCACUUACAAGCUCAUAUUAAGAUUUCCCAAUCGAUCCUGUACACAUUCAACCAAUGUAUAUAAGCUAUUCUUUUUGAACAAUAAUAGGUUAGAGCAUACUCUCACACCGAUUAGCUUACAUUCGGCUUUUGCGCCAUUGACGCAACGGGUCAUCUAGUUUGGAUAACGAGAGACUACUCCAGGUCAGGACCUUGAGCAGCGAGCGGGCGCUGUUCUUGGGGAUGCAUUACUCUUUCUCGGUGUCCACCAGGGUUUUCCCCUCCAUUUGUGGUGACGCUGUCUAUUUUAGCUUUGAUUUUCAGGAGAGAUUUGAUGAGCACAUUGAGGCCUACUGUCUCAUCGACAAAAGCAACAAGCCGGCAGACUACAUGAAUAGUUUUCACUUCCGUGGUUUCUCAAAAAAAAAAUGGCUCUUGCCCGUUUUCACUUCCUUUUAUGAAUAAGCUUCGCUGAAUUAUAUCUGUAUACACCUCUUGCAUGAAUAGUUUAUCAGCCUCGUUAGGCACUAAUAUGUGCUAAUCCCUCCGUCUCAUAUAUUAUGGGAUGGACGGAGUAUUUCACAGCCUCUAUUCAAGAGUUCGAAUGUCGAAUUUUGUGUUGGAUUCCUGUGGUAACAUUGUUCAUGAAUGUGCUGCCUCGGAACAUUCCUGAUAUACACGAAGAAAGCAAAUUCUGCUCAGUGUCUUCAAUGGGCAAGGAACCCGAUGAAGCACAACAUACAAUGGAAGUUGAAAAAACAAUGGCAUGAGCCUAAUUCGUAUACGAGGGAUGGUAGAGAGUAAAAUGGCAACACAAAUUUUGGAUAGUAAAUAAGUAUCAUUGAAAUUAGCAAGAAUUUCCAUACAAAAUAUCAUGAAGUACGCACAGGAUAUGUAUACGCUCUCUGAAUAUUUGAAUGAAUAACAAUCUACAAUAUAGUAUUGCACUUCAUCCAUGAACAACCAGGACAGGUGCUUAAAUUCGGCUUCAGACAGAACACCUCAAGAAAUUAUAAGAACAAAAGUUACAUGCUUCGUUUCACGCAUCAUGUGAUGCAGAAGCUUAUGAAUUACAUGGACAGUCUUAUGAUUCUCUCAAAAUAAUGUUUGAUAAUUCUACACCAUCACAAGAAUCAUCCCAUGUGUGUGUUCUGCCUUUUCCUGACAUCGUCUCACAGCAGAGCGAAUCAUAGAUAGCCGAACAAUUCCGAUCCUAGUAAACCUCAACGUGCCAUUGCUUGUUCUUCUUGAGCUGUGAGAGCUUCUGAUCCCAGCUCUCCCCUCUCUGCUCUGCCACCUUCUUGAGUGUAUCCUGAAUCCCUGGCAUCAUUCCUUUCAAACCACAGAAGUAGAUGUGUGCGCCGCCAUCCAAAAGCUUGAAAAUCUCAUCGCUGUACUCCUCAAUCUUGUCCUGAACGUACAUCUUGCUGCCACUCUUGUUCUUCUGCUCUCUACUUAGUGCUUUGUCGAACCUACAAAUUCAACACACUCAAUUAUAUUAUAUUCAACUAGUUUAUUCAAGUGGUGGCACACCCAAUCUACGAUGACGGAACCAUCCAAGUCAAUAACAAAAUGGCGGUUGGGGCGUGUGUAAAGAUAAUAAAAGAAACAGAGGGUAUGGAGAUGGAAGAGGUCUAAUAACCUGAAAUUGUCUGGAUACUGCUUCAGGUAGCUUGUGAAUUCUUCGUCAUAAAGAAGGCUGUCCGAAUUAGCCACACCAAGGAAGAGCCAAGCCAGGCCACCAAAUCUGAAAUUUGGAACAUCUUCCAUGAACAUGCGGCGUAGGUACCCGCGGUAGGGAGCAACACCAGUGCCAGUGGCAAUCAUGAUAUGGGUUGCAUUUGGAUCAGUCUCAGGUAGGAGCAUUAUUUUGCCAGAGGGCCCUGGGGUCAGAAAGAAAUGACAGUGAGAUGCAUAAACUUUAGAACAUCCAUCAUAUGCCAUGAACUAUGAGUAUACACAAUUCUACCAGAAAGAGUAUGUGCAUACAUGUUUGGUUUGUAUCUCGGAACAGGAAGCAGCACAUUGUUUGAAGGGCAUUUAUUAUAUGCAUCGAAAUUAGACUUUUAUCCAAAAAUAAUAAUCAAGUACGACAAAACUAUUAGAACAGAUCCAGUUGGCAGCAGCCAGCAGGACAGAAAGAAGGUAGCUAUUUAUUUUUAUUUUUGAUCAAGAAAGAAGGUAGCUAUUAGUGUCAGCGAUAGCCAUAUACUCCCUCCGUCCCAAAAUAAUUAUCUUAACCUUAGUACAACUUUGUACUAAAGCUAGUACAAAGUUGAGACACUUAUUUUGGGACGGAGGGAGUAUGUAAGAGGCUCUUGGAUACAAAGGAUUUAUUAUUUAUCUGGCUAGUGCGUCAGAAGUUACCCCCAAAAAAUAGUUGCUCUUAUUGAGAACAUACACUGUAAACCAGUGGCACUGUGAAAAAUUCCCCUCUUUCUUAAUGUUAUGGAAGAAUGGCUACUCCCUGCUCCAUCUUAAUUUACAUCCUACACAAUGUGUAUAUAUGUCUAAUGCUCUUUUUGUCAAAGGAUUCAGAAAUAGAUGGUUUAAGACAAAUGAACUUUAGGAACAUGUAAACGAGAAAACUUAGCCCUUUUAGAGUUAGAGGCGCUCAUAUAAAACUGCUAACACACAAGAAAGCCUUUGCAUCCAUCUAAAAGAAAGCAACCAACCUGUCAUCUGAAUCUUGUCCCCAGGCUUUGAGUUGCAUAGGAAAUUACUGCAGACACCAUUCUUCGAGGGGUCCUCCUUGCCAGUUUCAGGAUCAUAAUAAACUGCACGGCGAACACAUAAACUGGCAGUCUUCCCGUCAAAUGAAUCCCCAUACCUAGUAGAUGCAAUGGAAUACAGCCUGACAUUCUGUGGGUUUCCAGGCUUCUUUGGGUUCUCUCCCUGAUAGAUGCACACAAGGUUCAAUGAGCAAUGAAGAUGGGUGGUGAAAACAAGGAUGGACGACAGCAAGGUAAUGAAUAGAUAUUUGGUACUUGAAUUAACCUAAAGAUGGUGAAAACAUGGACGACAGGAAAUGCUAUGAACAGACAUGUGGUACUUGAGUUAACCUAAAGCAAUUCUCCUACACAAAGCAUCAAGCAGCAUACUCAAAUCAAUGUCUAUAAAUUUGAACAUAAUUCAAGUACAGCAUAACUUGAUAUGUUUAUCCUCUUAUUUAAUAAUACAACCCCUGUUCUGUUCAGUAUUCAGUAAGACAGACAAGAGGAUGAAAGAGAAAGUGGUUGAAAUGGCUAAACGCUUACUGGAGGAAUAAUCCUAAGGUAAUUCUCCUAGAAUAAAAUCAAGCAGCAUAAUCAAAUCAAUGUCUAUAACUUUGAACAUGAUUUUUUCAGUACAGCACAACUUGAUAUGUGUAUCCUCUUAUUUAGUAAGACGAAGAGUCCCCUGUUCAGUAUUCAACAAGACAGAGGAUGAAACUGAGUAAGUGAUGGAAUGGGCUAAACGCUUACCGGAGGAAUGAUUCCAUAGCUCUGCCCCUCCCAGUACGGCACAUUGCCACCAUGGUCGAUGACGACAUGGCACGUCUCUCCCGGGGCGUUAGGCCCUACCGCCCGCUCAACCGAGACGAUGGUGGCCGUGUAAGGCCCCUUGGGCUUGUAGGUGUUGAGCGGCGGCUCCUUGGCGCUCUCGAGGUCGAGAGGCGCGACAGAAACCUUGCUCUUGCUCGACUGCUGGACAGCCCGGCAGACAUGCCUCGGCUGCGCCGCGGCCUUGCUGUCGCACGCCAAUGCGGUGCCGAUCCAUGAUUUGGUGCCGAAGCUGAGACUGUUGAUGCCCUGAAGUGUAACAAAAGGUGAAAUCAGCAUACUGUUGAUGUUGGGGGCGCCGCUGAAAAGGCUGUGAGCUGGGGCUCCACGGCAUAGCAAAGCAAGAGCCUUGAAUAACUACUGAAUGUGCAUGUACUAGUACUGCUAUGUACUAGUAUGUCUUAUUUGUAAGUUAUACAUACUAGCUAAUCUCUGCAACCAAAGCAAGAGCGCUGAAGAAUUACUACUGAAUGUUGCAUCUACUACUACCAGUACAAGUGUGUCUAUUCGCAGGUGAUACUAGCUAAUCUGUGCAGUCCAGAUACCAUAUAGCAGGAAGCCAAAGCCGCAGCUAGCGCUAUCGAAUCUCGUGCCUAAAACUGCUCCCACUGAUUCACGCACUAGCACAACACGAUUGGCGCUGCGUAAAGGGAUAUGGAGACGCACCUGGAUUCCGGAACCACUGACGGCGCGGUCCGAGGGCGCGGAGAAGGCCACCUGCAGAGGGAGAGAGGGAAACGGUGAGAACACGGCGGCCGUCGCCCAGGAGCGGGACGGGGUCGGCGCGGGCGUACCUGGGACGCGGCGGCGGUGGCCAUGGCCGACGGACGGGCGGAUGGUUCGAGGAAGGGGAGAGGGGAGGAGGGGUUUUGAUNNNNNNNNNNNNNNNNNNNNNNNNNNNNNNNNNNNNNNNNNNNNNNNNNNNNNNNNNNNNNNNNNNNNNNNNNNNNNNNNNNNNNNNNNNNNNNNNNNNNNNNNNNNNNNNNNNNNNNNNNNNNNNNNNNNNNNNNNNNNNNNNNNNNNNNNNNNNNNNNNNNNNNNNNNNNNNNNNNNNNNNNNNNNNNNNNNNNNNNNNNNNNNNNNNNNNNNNNNNNNNNNNNNNNNNNNNNNNNNNNNNNNNNNNNNNNNNNNNNNNNNNNNNNNNNNNNNNNNNNNNNNNNNNNNNNNNNNNNNNNNNNNNNNNNNNNNNNNNNNNNNNNNNNNNNNNNNNNNNNNNNNNNNNNNNNNNNNNNNNNNNNNNNNNNNNNNNNNNNNNNNNNNNNNNNNNNNNNNNNNNNNNNNNNNNNNNNUUUAUAGGGGGGAUCGGAGCCGGAGGAGCGAGAGAGAGAGAGAGCCCUUGAGGCGACGGAAGGGACGGCGACGUCCGUCCGCUGCUGGGGUGCUGGCUGCUGGGGGUUGGUGACGGCGACGCUAACCAAAUCAAAUCAUCAAUCGCCCCCUAAACUUGCCUAAAUUAUUCUGGAUCGUUGAUUAUUAGAUUAAUCGCUGGAUCUCUGAUUAGUAGAUUAGCCAAGUAUCGUAGGGGGUUGCGUGGCUGCUUGAAAUGGCCUCGUGGUGGCCGUGAAGGGCCGGCCAGCUUGCAUCGCUUCGCAAAGUCAGACGUGCAACCCGGCUCGGCGCUCAGGUCAGGUGCAUGCAUGAAUCAGCACAGGUGUGCCUGUGUAACUGCACACCUCCUGGCCGCCCCCAAAAACCAGGGGGACGGGGCAGGUCCGCAUAAGAAUGUCCUAGGCGUGCCACUAAACCUGGGCAUGGGCAGCUUGGCCCGAGCCCGGCCCGAAAAUCCCGGGCCGGACUGGGCCGGGCUUGUCACUCGGGACGGUCUUGGGCUUCAGUUUACAGCGCGAAGUAAUAUUCAGGCCAGGCUUUGGUUUCCAUUUUAGGCCCCAAAUUAGCCUGGCUCUUGGGUGGAUCCUUUUUCACCAGCUUUGUCUUUUUUUUUCAAAAAAAAUUAAUUCGAUUCAUUCAUCAACUAUCAAGACAGUAUGAAGAAUAUUAAAAAUAACAAAAUUUAUCCUGAUCCGUAGACCAACUAGCGACAAAACUUGCAAAAGGCACACACGCCGUCCCUCCCCCUCCGGAGUCAGACAAAUUUUGUUGUAGUAGACACAUCGUAAAGUCGUCAUGCUAAGGCCCCGCAGGACCACCGUAUCAGAACAACAGUCAUCGCUGAUUAAGAGAAUCGUAGAUCGAAAGGAUCAAACAUACGGACACACAGUGGAUGAACGAAGACCAGAUCCACCAAAGACAACCACAUAUUAAAUCCCGCGAGAUUCACCGGAAACACAUCCACCCAUCCCCUGACAACGCUAGACGCACCACUAGGACAAGAGCUAAGCGAAAAGAACUUUAUUCCAUCUUAAGAGAGUCGUCGUUGUCAGUAUCCUUGGAGAUGACACAAACCCUAACCAAACUCAAAAAAACAUUUGCAAAUAAAGCUCUCUCAUUGGUAAAGGCAAGGAUCCACCCGCCCUCAUACCAUAAGGCCACACGAGACGAACCAAAUUGGCAGCGGCACGACCAUCGGCGGAACGCAGAAACCCUAGUCGCCUUUUCUCCAAAGACACUACUAUUAGUAUUAGGCAUUGUACAAUGCAAGAUGCUUAGGGGAGAUGCUUAGAAAAGAAAAAUUAAUCCCUCCUAUAAAUCUAAGCAUUUGGUGCUUAAAAAAACUCAAUUUAUUUUACUAAGUACCUCCUUAAACACCUUGCAUUGUACAAGGCCUUACUUCCCAGCCAGAGCAAAACACCUUGCAUUGUACAAGGCCUUGCUUCCCAGCCAGAGCACAGGGAUCCGCCCAUGUCAUCUUUCAUGACAUUGCCUGGGAAAAAAAAUCUUUCAUGGCAUUGGCCUAUGAUACCAUCACACCUGCCCUUGCAGGUUCAACGUUACCUGCAAAAGAGAGACCCCAGCAUGCUCGAGCACAAGCAGAAGCCCAUACCACAUACAACUGUAAAAGUAAAACUCUGAUUUUCAGUUUCAACUUGCUAUCCCUCUUCACCCUUGAACAUUUGCCAAAGAGCAGAGCAGGGAGAGCUUCUGCGCCGGUUUAUUUGUCUUUGUACAUGCAGUCCAGCAAACACAAAGCACAACCCAAACAUCUAGACACACUACUAUAACACACUCCUAUCUUGUUCUUUCUUCUUCUUCUUCCCACAAAGGGCACACAGACAGACAGACAGACAGACGACUCUCUUCUUCCUGUUUCGACAACACAAACAACUACAAACAGCACGGAGUUUCUUUCCCCCUACUACAUCUACAACAGACAGACAGACAUGCAUCGCUGGGGGUUGCUUCAGGCUCUCCACAGCCUGCAGACACAGCUUCUUUCGCUCGCUCGCUCGCUCAAAGCCCCAUCAGGUGGUCGAGGCCCCCAUGAGGGCCUCCUCCACCCAUGCCGCCGAGAGAGCCCCCGCCUCCCAUGCCGCCACCAAGAGAGCCUCCUCCACCC
rnacentral:lncRNA from 1 species